rnacentral:lncRNA from 1 species
UUUUCAGAUUUCAAAUGGACUACCACAUACGGAUGUGUAUGUAGACAUAUUUUAGAGUGUAGAUUCACUCAUUUUGCUACGUAUGUCUUUUCAGGAAGGGGUCAGAUUUUUCCUUGAUUUAUUUAUGAGGUAUCCAGAUGGCACUACACCGGCAAGAAAAGAGUGUAACAUCAAAAUUAUGGAGUACUUUUUUGAGUAUGUUGGCACGGUCCGGUCAUAGUCACUUGUUGAAAUCUCUAAAAAGACAAAUACUCCCUCCGUCCGGAAAUACUUGUCAUCAAAAUGGAUAAAAGGAAAUGUAUCUAGACGUAUUUUAGUUUUAGAUACAUCUAUUUUUAUCCAUUUUGAUGACAAGUAUUUUCGGACGGAGGGAGUAGAAAACAGAGUUGGUGAUGAUGGUGUGCGUGCCAUCCUGCAAUAUAGGCCGUCGGAUUUAUAUCUAACGGAUAGGAAAGAAACUAUGGCAAUUUUGCAAAAAUAUACCCACACGUCUCUCCACAUUCGCAAAUAAGGCCUUCCCUCGUUCAGCCUUUUCUCUCACAAGAUAAACUACUCAUACAAAUGCAUCUUGAUGUUUCGUGCAAUGCACGGGCAGCUAGCUAAUUUCUUUUAAAGUAGUUGCUGCGAUAAUUGGGUUGAAGUGAUAUGGUUUAUGUCUGCCCCGAAUGAUUUCAGAUUCACUAGUACUCCCUCCGUUCCAAAAUAGAUGACCCAACUUUAUACUAAAGUUAGUACAAAGUUGAGUCAUCUAUUUUGGAAUGGAGAGAGUAGUAACAAAGAAAAGGUUGCCUUGUUAAUUAACAAAAAAUAGGGUGAAAACUAUCACAUGAGGCCGGUAAAAACAACNNNNNNNNNNNNNNNNNNNNNNNNNNNNNNNNNNNNNNNNNNNNNNNNNNNNNNNNNNNNNNNNNNNNNNNNNNNNNNNNNNNNNNNNNNNNNNNNNNNNNNNNNNNNNNNNNNNNNNNNNNNNNNNNNNNNNNNNNNNNNNNNNNNNNNNNNNNNNNNNNNNNNNNNNNNNNNNNNNNNNNNNNNNNNNNNNNNNNNNNNNNNNNNNNNNNNNNNNNNNNNNNNNNNNNNNNNNNNNNNNNNNNNNNNNNNNNNNNNNNNNNNNNNNNNNNNNNNNNNNNNNNNNNNNNNNNNNNNNNNNNNNNNNNNNNNNNNNNNNNNNNNNNNNNNNNNNNNNNNNNNNNNNNNNNNNNNNNNNNNNNNNNNNNNNNNNNNNNNNNNNNNNNNNNNNNNNNNNNNNNAUGAUGGUGUUCCUGCUAUCCUGCAAUAUAGGCCAUCCAAUUUUUAUAUCCGACGGACAUGAAGGAAAAUAUGGCAAUUUUGCAAAAAGAUACCCACACCCCUCUCCGCAUUUGCAAAUAAGGCAUUCCCUCGUUCAUCCUUUUCCCCCACAAGAUAAACUUUUCAUACAAAUGCAUCUUGAUGUUCCAUGGGUCUAGAGCGAGCUCUUUUGCGCUUAGUGUAGGUGCUUAGGCAAGUGCUUAGGUGCGUACGAUGUGGUAGAUGCAUUGGAAUGGAGGAGGGGCGCCUUUAUAUGAGGGCAAUGAGGGCAAACUGCGUUGCAUUCACAUCGUGCAGCCUCUUUUCCCGGACCUCCUCUCAUUACUUCCCUCAUGCAUUAAUUGAAGGAGGAUGCAUUGGCCGUUCAACAUAUCGGGAACCGCUACUCCCUCCCUCGUCUGCAUUAAAGGCGUAUCGGAAACUACGCCGCCCGCUGUCAAAUCGAAUACUCCCUCCGUCUGGGUGAGUAUUAUAAGUCAUCUUACGAAAACCAAAUACUAGUAAGACUAGCCACCGUGGGAGUAACUUCAGCAGUAACAUCGAGUCCAACUCAGCAAAUUUGCUUAUGUGGCAGUGAGUUAAUGAGGAGAGAGGUAGUUAUAAGGCUGGUCAUAAUAGUAGUAUCAUAGGUAGUAUCAUGCAUGCCAACUAGGCAAAUUUGAUAAGGUGGCAUAGAAUUGAAUGAAGAAAGGGAGAGUUGAAUAUCAUAUCAUGAUACCGUAUUAUAUUAAAUGGUGUGCUACUAUGUGUCAUGCAUGGCAAUAAAUGAAGUUAGCUAUGAUACUAACUUAUGAUACCAUGCACUACGGAUGUAAUAUCAUACACUAGUAUCAUAUGCAUGAUACUAGUAUAUGAUACUCGCCAUUACGACUAGCCUAAUAACUUAGCUAGCUACUAUAACAUCACAUGUCCCAAUGCAAUAUGAGCCUAUAACCUAAUAAAUGAAGCUUUGCAUGUUACCACACUUAUGUUAGUACUACCUCUGUCCAGGUUUAUUGGUCCCCAUUGUAUUGCGUGCCAAAUUUUGACCAUAGAUUAAACUAAGAAAAUGUUCACGCAUGUCACCAAACAUUAUACUUUUCAAAACUAUGUUCAAAGAUGAAUCCAAUGAGAUAAUUUUUCUUGACAUGCAUUAACAUUUUGUUAGUUAAAUCUUUAGUCAAAAUUUGGCACAAACUAUAAAAGGUACCUAUAAACCAGGACGGAGGUAGUACCCACUAUGAAGGUAGUAACAUAGUCUAGGGAUAUGUGUAUGUUACUAGUGUAUGUUACUCACCAUUGUGGCUAGUCUAACACAUAGGCGUGGUGCAUUAACUCUCACGUUGUUUCUUAUUUUUUGACAUAAAUAGAGGAAUCAACAAAGAAGAGAUGUGGGGCUUGUAUGCUUUUAAUGACUUGAGACUAUCAAACAUGACAUGUAGUGGUCAGUUCGUUGCACAAGAACAAAUACAACUCAGGUCAGCACAUACGCAUCUUAUAGCAUCACAUCCAAUGGCUAUAAAAGAUGAAUGAGACCAAAUUAUAUCUCAUCUAGAUGAGUUCUAGCAAAACUGUAUUAAUAAUACUUAGUACUCCUGCGCCAUGUAUCAUAUAAGUAUCAUGUAGUACUUUAUUAAUUCCCAUGUAUGACACAUAGUUCACGAGCGCUCUCUAUAUGUACCACCUUUUUUUAAUUUCAAGUUUUGCUCCAUGGAGCAAUCCAUCGAUACUACUAUUGUACAAGAGUGGAGUAUAUACAUUUUUUAAAAGGCUAGAGGGCGGGGCAGUCUAGCUCGGUCGGCUUCACGAGAGGCGAGGGCCUUUGUGAUUUGACGGCUCAUUAAUGCUGUCAAAUCGAAUAGUACUGCGCUGCCCGCUGCACGCCUGGCGCCUCCAUUAAACCCCUCCUUUAAACCCGCAUGCAAACCGAGAAUCCUACUCCGGCCACACGCCCGUUCAUGAGCGGGCCGAAAUUAAACGCAACACCGGCCGAGCUCCUCCCGUCCGCCCUCAGUUUAAACGAGGCCAGACGCCGGCCAAGCUCUUACCGUCCGCCCUCUAUUUACACGAGGCCAGACAAACAGCGGGCAAGAAUCGCACCCCUCCGCCGCUCCCCCAUCUCCUCCUUCACCAUUUUCUCCACCCUUUCGAUGGCUUCCGAUGAGCCGUUCUCCGGCAUAUUACCCGGUUGGGUGGCCUGUCGAGCCCUCCGGAUACGGGCGAGGCCGCUCGGUGCUUCACCAACCUCGCUUGGCCCGACGGAGCCAGUUGCUGCCCCAAGCAGGCGCGUGGUUCAGCAACUCGUCGCUCCAGUUCAGCUCGAUGAGGAGUGGCGAGUUGCUCCACGCCGGCACGGUGGCGAGCACGCCGGUACGGGCACCGUCGCUGCCGCGUCGUACCGCGCCACCAGUGUUUGCGGUGGCCGCGCCUCCCGUGCCUGCGGCAGCGCCAUGCAGGCAGAGACAAAAGCCGGGUGCAUGGAGAGCGACCAGUCGGUGGCCAGCUUCUCCCUGUCCGCCGCCAUCAUCGAGGAGAAGUAGAACAUGGGAGGCUGCCGCCACUUGGGACCCAUGAAGGCCACCACCGAGGCGACGACCGCGGAUUCAGGUGGUUUCUUUGCUGCUUCGUCUCUUCCGAGGACCUUCGUCGACCCCGCAAGUGUUUGACGGACAUGAGGAAGACAAAGGGAUCCGCAGGCGGCCAUUUCGAACUAAAAUAAGUCUAGAUAUAUCCAUUUCUAGGACAAGUAUUUCCGGACGAGAGGGAGUAUUAAUUAUACAAGAGAGUCAGAUUGGCACCUCUUAGUUCAUGUAAAUGUAAUGAAAUCCGUCAUGUUUAUAUGAAGAUCCGGCUUUUUAAUACGAAAUCCUUCAUGCUUAUAUGAAAUCAGUCCGUGUUUGCACGAAUUUCAUCUGGUUGGUUAGAGUUAUAAAAAUGUAUGCCGCUGGCGUUUGAUGUCGUCCUCCACGGAAGGAAGCGGGAGGAAAUUUGCCGGCUGCCGUUGGAGAUGCUCUUUAUGCUGGAAAUAAUAGAGUGACAUCCAAUCCAUUUGAGUUAAUUGCCUGUAUGAUUGUCCCUCUAUAAAAAGUUAAUUGCAUGUACAGUGUACACGUGACUUGCAGGGUGGCUACAGCUUCGUACAGAAAGUUAAAAAGAAACAAGUCCAUCCUUAAUAUUCUAAGUACUAUGUGGGUUCCACUGUCAGUACAGUAGCGAAAGAAGUAUAUAUUACUCCCUCCAUUCCUAAAUAUUUUUCUUUUUAGAGAUUUCAAAUGGACUACUACAUACAGAUGUAUAUAGACAUAUUUUAGAGUGUAGAUUCACUCAUUUUGUUCCAUAUGUAGUCACUUGUUAAAAAAUUUAGAAAGACAAAUAUUUAGGAACGGAGGGAGUAAAUAAGUAGAGUAAUAUAUAAUAUACAAAUCUAAAGUUAAAAGACAGAAUUCGAACUCAUGUCAUCGCGUUGCGAGCAUCCGGCGCUAACCAGCCCAGCACAUUUUUGUUGUAGACCAUGCUGGAGAUAUAUCUCCAUGUCUACUCUUAUAUAUACUCCAUUCGUUUCUAAAUAUUUGUCUUUUUUCAGAUUUCAAAUGGACUACCACAUACGGAUGUGUAUGUAGACAUAUUUUAGAGUGUAGAUUCACUCAUUUUGCUACGUAUGUCUUUUCAGGAAGAGGUCAGAUUUUUCCUUGAUUUAUUUAUGAGGUAUCCAGAUGGCACUACACCGGCAAGAAAAGAGUGUAACAUCAAAAUUAUGGAGUACUUUUUUGAGUAUGUUGGCACGGUCCGGUCAUAGUCACUUGUUGAAAUCUCUAAAAAGACAAAUACUCCCUCCGUCCGGAAAUACUUGUCAUCAAAAUGGAUAAAAGGAAAUGUAUCUAGACGUAUUUUAGUUUUAGAUACAUCUAUUUUUAUCCAUUUUGAUGACAAGUAUUUUCGGACGGAGGGAGUAGAAAACAGAGUUGGUGAUGAUGGUGUGCGUGCCAUCCUGCAAUAUAGGCCGUCGGAUUUAUAUCUAACGGAUAGGAAAGAAACUAUGGCAAUUUUGCAAAAAUAUACCCACACGUCUCUCCACAUUCGCAAAUAAGGCCUUCCCUCGUUCAGCCUUUUCUCUCACAAGAUAAACUACUCAUACAAAUGCAUCUUGAUGUUUCGUGCAAUGCACGGGCAGCUAGCUAAUUUCUUUUAAAGUAGUUGCUGCGAUAAUUGGGUUGAAGUGAUAUGGUUUAUGUCUGCCCCGAAUGAUUUCAGAUUCACUAGUACUCCCUCCGUUCCAAAAUAGAUGACCCAACUUUAUACUAAAGUUAGUACAAAGUUGAGUCAUCUAUUUUGGAAUGGAGAGAGUAGUAACAAAGAAAAGGUUGCCUUGUUAAUUAACAAAAAAUAGGGUGAAAACUAUCACAUGAGGCCGGUAAAAACAACNNNNNNNNNNNNNNNNNNNNNNNNNNNNNNNNNNNNNNNNNNNNNNNNNNNNNNNNNNNNNNNNNNNNNNNNNNNNNNNNNNNNNNNNNNNNNNNNNNNNNNNNNNNNNNNNNNNNNNNNNNNNNNNNNNNNNNNNNNNNNNNNNNNNNNNNNNNNNNNNNNNNNNNNNNNNNNNNNNNNNNNNNNNNNNNNNNNNNNNNNNNNNNNNNNNNNNNNNNNNNNNNNNNNNNNNNNNNNNNNNNNNNNNNNNNNNNNNNNNNNNNNNNNNNNNNNNNNNNNNNNNNNNNNNNNNNNNNNNNNNNNNNNNNNNNNNNNNNNNNNNNNNNNNNNNNNNNNNNNNNNNNNNNNNNNNNNNNNNNNNNNNNNNNNNNNNNNNNNNNNNNNNNNNNNNNNNNNNNNNNNNNNNNNNNNNNNNNNNNNNNNNNNNNNNNNNNNNNNNNNNNNNNNNNNNNNNNNNNNNNNNNNNNNNNNNNNNNNNNNNNNNNNNNNNNNNNNNNNNNNNNNNNNNNNNNNNNNNNNNNNNNNNNNNNNNNNNNNNNNNNNNNNNNNNNNNNNNNNNNNNNNNNNNNNNNNNNNNNNNNNNNNNNNNNNNNNNNNNNNNNNNNNNNNNNNNNNNNNNNNNNNNNNNNNNNNNNNNNNNNNNNAGCCAGUCGAUAGAUUAGUAUCAAGAUCGAGGUGUCACCCUACUCCUUCGGUGUUGGGACGUGUGUGUGGGGGGGGGGGAGGGGGCAGUGACACUCACAUAUCUCUACUCUUAUAAAAAAACAGAGUUGGUGAUGAUGGUGUUCCUGCUAUCCUGCAAUAUAGGCCAUCCAAUUUUUAUAUCCGACGGACAUGAAGGAAAAUAUGGCAAUUUUGCAAAAAGAUACCCACACCCCUCUCCGCAUUUGCAAAUAAGGCAUUCCCUCGUUCAUCCUUUUCCCCCACAAGAUAAACUUUUCAUACAAAUGCAUCUUGAUGUUCCAUGCAACGCACAUGGGCAUCUUGCUAGUAGGGAGAAGGAGUUUGUGUGACACAUAUCUAGCUAUAUUAAGGGAUAGCUAGAUAGCAUAUGUGUGAGAGACAUUAUUGUACUUUGAGAUAUUAGUGGCUGUGGGUGGGCGGAAUUAAAGGAGUGGGCGUGUUAGACAUAGAGAGCGUGUGUGUUUCUGUGUGAGAGACUUGUAGGACGGGGUAGAAAGACGAAUUUAACCCUGAUGGAGGGAGAGAAAUAUACGAAGUGCGCGUGUGUGAUUCCGAUGCCCACAGGGAAAUGAGAUAUGUAUGUGUGUGAGAGAGAUUGCACAAUUCAUUCACGUAUCACUGUCUAGCGACCGUGGACGUGCAUCGCUUGAACAUAAGUCAAUAUCUACUUCGUAUCGUGGCCAAAGGUACAAUAUUGAUUCAACGCUAUAAAGAUUGGACACUCACAUAUCACAUUUUUUUCUAUUUAAAUAAACCUUUUUCAGUUGUGCAUGCCAAAGUUACAGUGAAGUUUCUUCAAACAACCAAUGUAGCUAUCAUGCACAUGCACGUUUGUUACUCUUGCAUUCAAAUUCAUUAGUCUUGGAUGAUUUAAGUUUCUAUUUUGAAGUAAUAUAUAUGUAAUAUUCAUAUAUGAAUUCAAUGGUUACGCAAUUUAUGAAAUGGAGGCUAUGUAAUCAUAUGAGGUAACACUUUUAAGUAGCUAACUACAAUAUCCAUUUCAUUUUGUGCACCUCUACACUAACACAUCAAUGCCUUAUGUUUAAAAUAAAUAACCAAUGGCACUAAAUUAUCUAUUUACACGAGAAAUACAUAGGCUGACCGUUUGAUCCCUUUCUUUGUGAACGUGCCACUACACCCGUACGAUUGGCCGCGCCCGUGUGAACGUCCAAGUUAUCGGCGCAUCAUCCCGAGUUAUUGUCUUUUUUUUGUGUGGACUUCACACCAGUUAUUAACUGCUGACGCGUGCCCCGUGUACACAGUCUAGCAUGACCCGCUAGCACGGUCCAAAAUUAGUUGAAACUGGAUACGAACGAUCCCGCGGGCGGCAAAAUCUCCCGCCUCCUUCUAAAAUUUCCGCCACCUUAGUCUUUAGCAUGCGAAAUCCCCCUUUUGUCCUUGGUGCACGGAGACCAACAGUAACAAUACCGCCCUCAUCUACAUAAUAGGUCGGGGUUGCUUUGGUAACUUCCGGUUCCCCCCACUACACGCCACCCCCAUUUUCUCUCCCCUCCUCCCGCAAAAAUGACUAACUCCACAGCACCAGAGCAUCUAACAUCACGCCGUCCGUACAUCAUCACCCUUUCUCCCCUCCCCUCUCGAAACCCUAGACUACUCAUCCACCGGCAUACCAUAGCCCAUUCACUGCUAGCGGCGUCCACCUCGCAGACUCUGCUUCUGCGGCCGCAUCUACCCCUCCUACCUCCCCUAGAAACAAGUAGACUCCUCAUCCACCACUGUACCACAGCCCAUUCAGUGCCGGCCUUGUCCACGACGCCGGAUCUGCUUCGCCGGUACUCUUGUCAACCGCCGCGCAUCUGCAGCGGCUCAUUCGUACUCCCCACCGGAGACGCUUCGUCCACACCCCCCGGAGCCGCCCCACCAACGCCCCCGUCGACGGCCUCUGAUCCUCUUCGCCGACACCUUCCUCGACCCUACCAGAGGCGCUUCGCCGACACCUUCCUCAACCCUACCGGAGCCGCUUCGCCGACACCAGCGUCAACCCUACCGGAGUAGCUUCGCCUAUACCAUUCUCAACCCUACCAGGGCUGCUUUGCCAACUCACAAGUCCACGGCCUCAGAUCCACUUCCUCGCACCCUCAUCCAACCUACCGGAGCAGCUUCUGACGCCCCAUCCAUGGUCGCAGAUCCGCAUCGUCAACACCACCCUUAACCCAACCACCGGACCAGCUUCUGACGCCCCAUCCACAGCCGCAGAUCCGCAUCGUCGACACCAUCCUUAACCCAACCACCGGAGCAGCUUCUGACACCCCGUCCACGACAGCAAAUCCGCGUCAUAGACACCAUCCUUAACCCAACCACCGGAGCAGCUUCACCUACGCCCUCGUCCACAGCCACAGAUCCGCUUCGCCCACACCAUAGUCCACCCUGAAGGAAAUAUGCCCUAGAGGCAAUAAUAAAGUUAUUAUUUAUUUCCUUAUAUAUGAUAAAUGUUUAUUAUUCAUGCUAGAAUUGUAUUAACCGGAAACAUAAUACAUGUGUGAAUACAUAGACAAACAUAGUGUCACUAGUAUGCCUCUACUUGACUAGCUCGUUUAUCAAAGAUGGUUAUGUUUCCUAACCAUGGACAAAAGAGUUGUCAUUUGAUUAACGGGAUCACAUCAUUAGGAGAAUGAUGUGAUUGACUUGACCCAUUCCGUUAGCUUAGCACUUGAUCGUUUAGUAUGUUGCUGUUGCUUUCUUCAUGACUUAUACAUGUUCCUGUAACUAUGAGAUUAUGCAACUCCCGUUUACCGGAGGAACACUUUGGGUGCUACCAAACGUCACAACGUAACUGGGUGAUUCUAAAGGAGUACUACAGGUGUCUACAAAGGUACAUGUUGGGCUGGCAUAUUUCGAGAUUAGGUUUUGUCAGUCCGAUUGUCGGAGAGGUAUCUCUGGGCCCUCUCGGUAAUGCACAUCACUAUAAGCCUUGCAAGCAACGUAGCUGAUGAGUUAGUUAUGGAAUGAUGCAUUACGUAAUGAGUAAAGAGACUUGCCAGUAACGAGAUUGAACUAGGUAUUGGAUACCGACGAUCGAAUCUCGGACAAGUAACAUACCAAUGACAAAGGGAAUAACGUAUGUUGUUAUGCGGUUUGACCGAUAAAGAUCUUCGCAGAAUAUGUAGGAGCCAAUAUGAGCAUCCAGGUUCCGCUAUUGGUUAUUGACCGAGAAUAGUUCUAGGUCAUGUCUACAUUGUUCUCGAACCCGUAGGGUCCGUUACGGGAAUUCGCCGGGGAGUAUAUGGGCCUUAUUGGGCCAUACAGGAAUAGAGGAGAGAGGCCAAAAGGAAGGAGGCCUGCGCCCCCCCCCCCUCUGGUCCGAAUUGGACAAGGGGGGCAGCCCCCUUUUCCUUCUCCCUCUCCUCCUCUUUUCUUCUCCAACAAGGGAAGGAGGAGUCCUACUCCCGGUGGGAGUAGGACUCCCCCCUUGGCGCGCCUCCAUAGGACGGCCGCCUCCCCCCUUGCUCCUAUAUAUACGGGGGCAGGGGGGCACCCCAAAGACACAACAACAAUUGAUCCUUGAGAUCUAUUAGCCGUGUGCGGUGCCCCCCUCCACCAUAGUUCUCCUCGAUAAUAUUGUAGCGGUGCUUAGGCGAAGCCCUGUGAUGGUAGAACAUCAAGAUCGUCACCACGCCGUCGUGCUGACGGAACUCUCCCUCGACACUCGGCUGGAUCGGAGUUCGAGGGACGUCAUCGAGCUGAACGUGUGCUAGAACUCGGAGGUGCCGUAGUUUCGGUGCUUGAUCGGUCGGGCCGUGAAGACGUACGACUACAUCAACCGUGUUGUUCAUACGCUUCCGCUUUUGUUCUACAAGGGUAUGUAGAUUACACUCUCCCCUCUCGUUGCUAUGCAUUACCAUGAUCUUGUGUGUGCGUAGGAAAUUUUUGAAAUUACUACGUUCCCCAACAGUGGUAUCAAAGCCUGGUUUUAUGCGUAGAUGUCAUAUGCACGAGUAGAACACAAGUUAGUUGUGGGCGAUAUAAGUCAUACUGCUUACCAGCAUGUCAUACUUUGGUUCAGCGGCAUUGUGAGAUGAAGCGGCCCGGACCGACAUUACGCGUACGCUUACGCGAGACUGGUUUCAUCGCUACGAGCACUCGUUGCUUAAAGGUUACCGGCGGGUGUCUGUCUCUCUCACUUUAGUUGAACAGAGUGUGUCUACGCCCGGUCCUUGCGAAGGUUAAAACAACACUAACUUGACGAACUAUCAUUGUGGUUUUGAUGCGUAGGUAAGAAUGGUUCUUGCUCAGCCCGUAGCAGCCACGUAAAUUUGCAACAACAAAGUAGAGGACGUCUAACUUGUUUUUACAGGGCAUGUUGUGAUGUGAUAUGGUCAAGACGUGAUGCUAUAUUUUAUUGUAUGAGAUGAUCAUGUUUUGUAACCAAGUUAUCGGCAACUGGCAGGAGCCAUAUGGUUGUCGCUUUAUUGUAUGAAAUGCAAACGCCCUGUAAUUGCUUUACUUUAUCACUAAGCGGUAGCGAUAGUCGUAGAAGCAAUAGAUGGCGUAACGACAACGAUGCUAUGAUGGAGAUCAAGGUGUCGCGCUGGUGACGAUGGUGAUCACGAUGGUGCUUCGGAGAUGGAGAUCACAAGCACAAGAUGAUGAUGGCCAUAUCAUAUCACUUAUAUUGAUUGCAUGUGAUAUUUAUCCUUUAUGCAUCUUAUCUUGCUUUGAUUGACGAUAGCAAUUUAAGAUGAUCUCUCACUAAAAUUAUCAAGAAAUGUUCUCCCUGAGUAUGCACCGUUGCGAAAGUUCUUCGUGCUGAGACACCAUGUGAUGAUCGGGUGUGAUAAGCUCUAUGUUCAAAUACAACAGGUGCAAAACAGUUGCGCACGCGGAAUACUCAGGUUAAACUUGACGAGCCUAGCAUAUAACAGAUAUGGCCUCGGAACACGAAGACCGAAAGGUCAAGCGUGAAUCAUAUAGUAGAUAUGAUCAACAUAUUGAUGUUCACCGUUGAAACUACUCCAUCUCACGUGAUGAUCGGACAUGGUGUAGUUGAUAUGGAUCACGUAAUCACUUAAAGGAUUAGAGGGAUGUCUAUCUAAGUGGGAGUUCUUUAGUAAUAUGAUUAAUUGAACUUAAAUUUAUCAUGAACUUAGUCCUGGUAGUAUUUUGCAAAUUAUGUUGUAGAUCAAUAGCUCGCGUUGUUGCUUCCCUAUGUUUUUAUGUGUUCCUAGAGAAAACUAUGUUGAAAGAAGUUAGUAGCAAUGAUGCGGAUUGGAUCCGUGAUCUGAGGUUUAUCCUCAUUGCUGCAUAGAAGAAUUAUGUCCUUAAUGCACCGCUAGGUGACAGACCUAGUGCAGGAGCAUAUGCAGAUGUUAUGAACGUUUGGCUAGCUCAAUAUGAUGACUACUUGAUAGUUUAGUGCACCAUGCUUAACGGCUUAGAAUCGGGACUUCAAAGACGUUUUGAACAUCAUGGAUCAUAUGAGAUGUUCCAGGAGUUGAAGUUAAUAUUUCCAGCAAAUACCCGAGUUGAGAGAUAUGAAGUCUCCAACAAAUACUAGCUAUAUGCCAGCAAAAAGUAACAUUUUUUUAAUGAUUGGAUUUUGAUAACUAAAAUUUCUAACAUUUCUAUAUAACACUAAUUAUGCUAAUCUAAAUAAUCUAAAUAACACUAAAAUUUCUAACAUUUCUAACAUUUCUAUAUAACACUAAUUUCUAACAUUUCUAUAUAACACUAAUUUCUAACUGAUUAAACACUAAUUAUAUCCAUCUAACAUGCAUUCAUACAUAUAUAAUAGUGAAAAAAUAAUAAUCUAAAUAAUCUAAACUAAUUAAACAUACAAAAUACGUGUGUGUGUACUAAUUAAACACUAAUUAUCUAAACUAAUUAAACAUACAAAAUAAUAAUCUAAAUAAUCUAAACUAAUUAAAGACUAAUUAUCUAAAUUAAUUAAACAUGCUUGUGUGUGUGUGUGUACGGGCUCGGGGAGGGCUCAUAGCGGGCGACGGCGACGGCGAGGCGACGGCGAGGCGAGGCGACGGUGAGGCGACGGGGACGGCGAGGCGAGGGCAAGGCGACGGCGGGGACGGCGCGACGGGGACGGGGACGGGCCCGGGGUGGCGACGGAGACGAGGGCGGCGACGGGGACGGGGGCGGCGACGGAGACGAUCGAGGGCGGCGGCGACGGCGACGGAGACGGAAACAGAGGAACGAACAGAGAGGGAAACUGAAAUUUUCGUAGCCGUUUUAUAUAUAGAAGGCACCUUUAGUACCGGUUGGAACCACCAACCGGUACUAAAGGCCUAUUUUGGCCAGGCCAAGCGGCGCGAAGCGACCCCCUUUAGUACCGGGUCGUGGCACAAACCGGUACUAAAGGCGGGGUGCGUUGGCGCAGGUGCGGUGCGACAAGUUUAGUCCCACCUCGCUAGCCGAGGGGCGACCGCACUGGUUUAUAAACCCCCGUGCGGUCGCUCUCUCGAGCUCCUCUACAAAGCAGGCUUACUGGGCCUACGUGUUCUUUGCAGCCCUGUGGGCCCACUUGGCCUUUGCGGGCCUGCAUCCUGGCCCAACGACAGGUUGGGUUUCUAGUCGUAUGCAGGCCGCUCUGGCCUAGUAGGCGGGCUUAUUUUUAUUUUAUUUUUUGCUUUAUUUAUUUCCGUGUUGUUUUUUUUGUGUAUUUAGAGUUUCUUUGUGAACAUUUUUGUUUUAGGUACAAAAAAUUACAAACUUUCUGUUAGGGCUUUUUUUAUUAUUUUUUUGCUUUAUUUAUUUUUGUGUUGUUUUUUUUGUGUAUUUAGAGUUUCUUUGUGAACAUUUUUGUUUUAGGUACAAAAAAUUACAAACUUUCUGUUAGUGCCAGUAGUUUUCAAAUUUGAAUAGUUUAAAUUUUGAAUUAUUUGAAAUUAUUGUGAAUCACUAGUUUGUGAAUAACUUAACUUUAAAAAUCAGUAAAGGCAUGAAAGAAUUUGUUUGCACAUAAAAUUUCUUCGCGUUUCAAAUGCCAAAACACAUAACUACCCUAACUAUUACAGAGAUUCCCCUCUCGGUGCGAAACACAGAAGAAAGUGAUGAUAGCUAGUGAAGCCGAUCACAUCCCAGAUCUUUGGGUGUGAAAUUUUUUCUUCGCGUGUGUCCCUUUGCGCCGUAACCAUGGAAAAUCUUCAUCAUUUAACGGGAUGCUCGGGUCAAUAUUCACUGUGAAUGGAGCAAUUUCAUCAAACUUUUCAUAAUCUUCUGACUUGUCUGUCUUGUCAUCCACUCCCACGAUGUUUCUCUUCCCAGAAAGAACUAUGUGCCGCUUUGGCUCAUCGUACGAUGCAUUCGCUUCCUUAUCUUUUCUUUUUCUUGGCUUGGUAGACAUGCCCUUCACAUAGAAAACCUGUGCCACAUCAUUGGCUAGGACGAAUGGUUCGUCUGCAUACGCAAGAUUGUUGAGAUCCACUGUUGUCAUUCCGUACUGCGGGUCUUCCGUUACCCCGCCUCGUGUCAUAUUGACCCAUUUGCACCGAAACAAAGGGACCUUUAAACCACGUCGAUAGUCAAGUUCCCAUAUGUCCUGUAUAUAACCAUAAUAUGUUUCCUUUCCCGUCUUGGUUUCUGCAUCAAAGCGGACACCACUAUUUUGGUUGGUGCUCUUCUUAUCUUGGGCUCAUCGUGUAAAAUGUAUUACCAUUUAUCUCGUACCCUUUGAAAGUCAUUAUAUUCGAAGAUGGUAACUGGGACAGCAAGUACAGGUCAUAUUCAAUAGAGGUGUCAUGCAUGGUACGUGUCUGCAACCAGCUGGCGAAACUCCUGGUUUGUUCACAUGUAAUCCAGUCAUCAGACCGCUCCGGGUGUUUGGAGCGUAGCAAAUUCUUGUGUUCAUCCAUAUACGGAGCCACCAAGGCGGAAUUCUGUAGAACUGUGUAGUGUGCUUCAGUGAGGAUUAAUGCCAUCUGCGCUUAGACCAAACCAUAAGCUCCUUGCGUCAUCUGCAAACUGCUUCCCGUACUUUCUUUCGAUUUUUCUCCACUACGACCCGUCAGCGGGUACUCUCAACUUUCCGUCUUUCUUACGGUCUUCUCUGUGCCAUCGCAUCGCCUUGGCAUGCUCUUUGUUUUGGAACAAACAUUUCAACCGUGGUAUUAUAGGAGAAUACCACAUCACCUUGGCAGGAAUCUUCUUCCUGGGGUGCUCGCCCUCGACAUCACCAUGCUCAUCGCGGCUGAUCUUAUAGCGCAAUGCACCACAUACCGGGCAAGCGUUCAAAUCCUCGUACUCACCGCGGUAGAGGAUGCAAUCAUUAGGGCAUGCAUGUAUCUUCUGCACCUCUAACCCUAGAGGGCAGACAGCCUUCUUUGCUUCGUACGUACUCUUGGGCAAUUCGUUGUCCUUUGGAAGCAUAUCCUUUAUCAUUACCAGCAACUUUCCAAAUCCCUUGUCAGAUACACCAUUCUCUGCCUUCCAUUGCAGCAAUUCCAAUGUGGUGCCCAGCUUUUUCUUGUCACCUACGCAAUUCGGGUACAACAAUUUUUUGUGAUCCUCUAACAUGCGCUGCAACUUCUUCUUCUCCAAAUCACUUGCGCAGUUUCUCUUUGCAUCGGCAAUGGCCCGACCUAGAUCAUCAACGGGCUCAUCUGAUGCCUCUUCUUCAGCUUCUUCCCGCAUUCCCGGCUCAGCUUCUUCCCGCAUUACCGGCUCAGCUUCUUCCCCCAUUGUUGUAUCAUCGUAUUCAGGGAACCCUUGGCCAGGAUAGCUGUCGUCGUCCUCUUCUUCUUCAUUGUCUUCCAUCAUAACCCCUCUUUCUCCGUGCUAGGUCCAAACAUUAUAGUGGGGCAUGAAACCAGACUCAAACAGGUGGACGUGAAUGGUUCUUGACGUAGAGUAAUUGUGACCAUUCUUAGAGCCAGCACAUGGACAAGGCAUAAAACCAUCCACCCGCUUGUUUGCCUCAGCCGCAAGCAGAAAAGUAUGCACGCCCUCAAUGAACUGGGGAGAGCAUCGGUCAUCGUACAUCCAUUGCCGGCUCAUCUUCAUUACACAACACCGAAUAGACCAAAUUAAUACAAGUUCAUACAUAAAGUUCAUACAACACUUAAAUGCAACAAACAAAUAACUCUCUAGCUAAAGCAUUUAAAUGCAACAACAAAUGUGAUCAAGAUCGCAACUAAGGUAACAAUUGAUCCAACAGCAUAAUGACACCAAGCCUCACUAUCGAUGGCAUAUUUUCUAAUCUUUCUAAUCUUCAAACGCAUUUUCUCCUUCUUGAUCUUGUGAUCAUCGACGACAUCGGCAACAUGCAACUCCAAUUCCAUCUUCUCCCCCUCAAUUCUUUUCAAUUUUUCUUUCAAGUACUCGUUUUCUCUUUCAACUAAAUUUAACCUCUCGACAAUAGGGUCGGUUGGAAUUUCCGGUUCACAUACCUCCUAGAUAAAAAUAUCUAUGUCAACUUGAUGGGCAUAAUUUGUCAUAAACACGAAAUGCAACAAAUAGUUUUAAAAGAGAAUAUACCACAUCCGAAUCAUAACAAGGACGAGGGCCGACGGGGACGGAUAUCAAAACCAUGGCACUAUGUAUAACAAAGAACGUACGGGUAAGAUAAUUAUUAUACGAGUAACUAUAUAUCCAAAUCACACAAACAUCAAUUUUUUAUAUAAAAUUUCAUGAACAAAAGGCUCACCACAAGGUGGUGCCGGCGACGGGACGAUGCGGGCGAUCGACGGUGGUUACGACGGAGAUUUAGAUGGCACUAAGUAAACCACACCUACAUAUGCAAACUAAGUGUUAUUUUGACCUCAAAUUGCAUAUAAAUCAAAUACUAGCACAUAUAUAUAUAUAUAUCCUCCCAAAUUACUAAACUCACAAAUUAAUAACUAUAUAAAGCAUUGAAAGAGCUAAUCUAGCAAUGAGAGAUGAAAGGACAAAGUUGCUAACCUUUGUGAUCACUUGAAUGGAUGGGGGCCUUCAAAUCUUGACAAAUUUUGGGCAAAAUGUGUGAUGAGCUCGAGGGGAGAAGAGGAAGAACAGAGAGGAGAGGAGAGGGGAAAGGGGGAAGAACAGAGCGAGCUGGACGAAGGGUUUAUAUGCAGGAGGACCUAUAGUACCGGUUCGUGGCACGAACCGGUACUAAAGGUGCUGGAGGGGGCCCAGACUGGCAACAUCCUGCCACCACCCUCAUUAGUACCGGUUCGUGGCACGAACCGGUGCUAAAGGUUAGCCACGAACCGGUACUAAUGGGAGCGGCCCGGCUAGCCGUUGGAACCGGCACUAAUGUAUACAUUUGUGCCGGCUCUAAUACAAACCGGCACUAAUGUGCUUCACGUUUGACCCUUUUUCUACUAGUCUAAUGAGUUAGUUACGGAAUGAUGCAUUACGUAACGAGUAAAGAGACUUGCCAGUAACGAGAUUGAACUAGGUAUUGGAUACCGACGAUCGAAUCUCGGGCAAGUAACAUACCAAUGACAAAGGGAAUAAUGUAUGUUGUUAUGCGGUUUGACCGAUAAAGAUCUUUGCAGAAUAUGUAGGAGCCAAUAUGAGCAUCCAGGUUCUGCUAUUGGUUAUUGACCGAGAAUAGUUCUAGGUCAUGUCUACAUUGUUCUCGAACCCAUAGGGUCCGCUUGCUUAAGGUUUCGAUGACAGUUAUAUUAUGAGUUUAUGAGUUUUGAUGUACCGAAGGAGUUCGGAGUCCCGGAUGAGACCGGGGACAUAACGAGGAGUCUCGAAAUGGUCGAGACGUAAAGAUCGAUAUAUUGGACGACUAUAUUCGGACUUCGGAAAGGUUUCGAGUGAUUCGGGUAUUUUUCGGAGUACCGGAGAGUUACGGGAAUUCGCCGGGGAGUAUAUGGGCCUUAUUGGGCCAUACGGGAAUAGAGGAGAGAGGCCAAAAGGAAGGAGGCCUGCGCCCCCCCUCUGGUCCGAAUUGGACAUGGGGGGCAGCCCCCUUUUCCUUCUCCCUCUCCUCCUCUUUUCUUCUCCAACAAGGAAAGGAGGAGUCCUACUCCCGGUGGGAGUAGGACUCCCCCCUUGGCGCGCCUCCUCCAUAGGCCGGCCGCCUCCCCCCUUGAUCCUAUAUAUACGGGGGCAGGGGAGCACCUCAAAGACACAAUAACAAUUGAUCCUUGAGAUCUAUUAGCCGUGUGCGGUGCCCCCCUCCACCAUAGUCCUCCUCGAUAAUAUUGUAGCGGUGCUUAGGUGAAGCCCUGCGACGGUAGAACAUCAAGAUCGUCACCUCGCUGUCGUGCUAACGGAACUCUCCCUCGACACUCGGCUGGAUCAGAGUUCGAGGGACGUCAUCGAGCUGAACGUGUGCUAGAACUCGGAGGUGCCGUAGUUUCGGUGCUUGACCGGUCGGGCCGUGAAGAUGUACGACUACAUCAACCGCGUUGUUCAUACGCUUCCGCUUUCGGUCUACAAGGGUAUGUAGAUUACACUCUCCCCUCUCGUUGCUAUGCAUCACCAUGAUCUUGUGUGUGCGUACGAAAUUUUUGAAAUUACUACGUUCCCCAACACACCCUACCGGAGCCGCUCCACAAACACCCUACUCAACGGUUCUAGAUCUCCUUACCAGACCCCGACAGCCAGCACAGCGUCAUCACCCUCAAUGUUUCUAACCUGAUUCCCACUGUCUGGAGAGAUGCCAAGCACCCGCCACGGACUAGGUACUUGUCACCUUUAAACCCGUCCAUUAUCACCUGCCCGAUGUACUUCAAAUAUACUAACCGGUCGCUGUUACCUGUUAUGCAGCUAGCAAAAACUACAAGGACGAUGUUUCUUCUGGAUCUAACAGCUUGGCCAACCAAGAUCCUGGACUGAGGCAUUGCUAUGAUCUUGUAAGUGCGUCUCUCUCUCUUGUAUUGUUCUAUGCCUGCCAGCGUGCUUUGCUAGGAUUUUUGACCAGCAAUCCCUUUGUGCAGACAAUGAUUUCUACUACUGGCUGCUAAAUUAGAUAUGUAGAUGUCAUACAUGAUACUACCUCGUACCUCCGUUCCUAAAUAUAAGUCUUUCUAGAGAUUCCACUAUAGGCUACAUAUGGAGCAAAAUGAGUGAAUCUACACUCAAAGAUGCAUCUAUAUACAUCUGUAUGUGGUCCAUACUGGAAUCUCUACAAAGACAUAUAUUUAGGUACAGGGGCAGUACAUUACACAAAAUCGUAGGUGGCAUGUAGGAAUUCCAGUGCACUACAUUAGGCUCCCUUAGAGUGUCUGCCAGUCCAGCAUACAGAGUCAUGGCUAGUUUAUGGUACGCACACAAUCGUUAAUUGGUGGUUUAAAUAUGCGCAAGGGAUAUGCAAUGUAGUAUCAUGUAGAGAUGUCUGAAAUUAGCCGUGUCAACUUGCAGAUAGGGUUACACAAUGAAAAAGUACAAGAUGUAUGUGGCAAUUUCAUGGAACAUCGCAAAAAAAGGAGAGGCAUCGGUGAGCCUAUACAUUGUGCUAUGGUACGUCACUCUUCCAUUGCAAUCAUCGUGACAUGUUAUUUGUAUGCCAGUUCUAUUAGCCAAGUUUCUUAGGGACAGUUAUUACGAGUUAUCCUAAGAAAAUAAGCACCUGUGAAUAUAAGCUCCAUGUAAUACGCCAACCAGUUCUUUUCAUUGUGUUUUCAGCUUAUCUUUGGUAUGAUCAGUGGAAAGUCUAGAUUGCAUUAUAUAUAUUUUUCAUUUUGCUGCACAUAUGGAAAUUAAUUUGACUUGCAAACAUCAUAAAUUGAACCCAGCGCAGUAAUUAAUAUGAUAGGAAAACAGACCAUCACUAUUUGCUCAAAAUGCAAAUACAAAGAUACCAUCUACUUGGCACAAUCUACUUUGGUCAAUGUUUUCCAUAGAGAUCCCAUUGCCUAAUUUAAACAAAGAACGCAUGACCCACAUUUAAAUGAAGAACAAUUAUUUGUUGAAAUUCGAUGGUCCAAGUGGCUGGUUAUUAUCAUAUAGUAGCACCACCUGAAAGCAUCAUAUAGCAGCAGCAGCAGCUCAUCGCAACUCAUCAUACAGCAGCAGCAGUCUGCAAUUCAUCAUAUACCAGCAGCAGCUCAUAGCAAUUCAUCAUAUAGCAGCAGCUCAUAGCAAUUCAUCAUAUAGCAGCAGCAGGAGCAGCUUGUAGCAACUCAUCAUUCCCCUUCCCUUCAAUUUUUAGUAAGGUUCUACCCGAAACACCCCCCUCCAAAGCGAAAUUAGUUAAGCCCAAGCCCAUAACUCAAAAAUGACUUCUUUACAUCUUUUAUGGCUUAUUUUGACAAUAUACCCUGAAAAGGCGGAAUCAAACUGGCCCUUAACCUGCAAUUCAAUUGUGCGUGCAAUGAUGAAUCACUCCUGCCUACUAUCUGUACAUUUAGGCAUCAUCAUACAUGGCAUAACCUAAUACAUGUGCAUUCCAUUGUAGAAUCUGGAAUAUGCAAUGUUUAUGUUAGUUCAUACGUUGCACAUGAUGUUUAAAUGCCCCUUAAAUAUGGUCAGUCAAGUGAUGGUCUUUAAGCCUCCUUCUUUGCCUCUUUUCUUGAUAUGUAAGAUUUGCUCACACAUCUGUUCAAUUGCUUGUUUGCAUCAGCCAGCCAUACUAGGACUGUUUGCUUUGAUUACUUGUUGUUGACCUAACACUCUAACAGAGCUUGUCAACGAUUUAAACACUAAGGGUUGCUGUAGUGGGGCCUUGUCUAACUCAUAGGUGAAUAGAGGUUUCGUUGUACACUUCAAUAGGCUCUCCAAGAGUACCUGGAGAUCCAGUUCGAAGGUAUGCCUAGUUUUUACAUAAUGCAGACAUAGUAAAUGCUCAUUUCAUUAUGUGCAAGUGCAAGAGAUGCGGCAUGUUUCAUUAUGUGGUGUUGUUUUGUUAUAAUCUCAUCCUUUUGUGUUCACAGACUGGAAAGUAUGCAUAUUUAUCUUCCAAGGAGACGAGUAACUAGUUUAUGUCACCUUGCAGAGGGGGUGCAAUGAAGAUAAGAUUGAGGAUUUCCAAGUACAAGAUGUUAGGAAGGAGCCUUGCAAGAGAAGUAGGAGCUGCGCUGAGCCUCUUCAACCUGCUAAGGUAAGUCACUGUAUGCAACUCAACAGUUCAAUUCAUUGUUUGUUUCAGGCAUAGUUAAUUUUCUCUUUUCAAUUGCUUUAUUUGUCCUCACUUAAUGAGAUGCCCAAAUAAUUAUGCCUGAUGUUUGGUACUUGUAUCACUAUUAGUUGACAUAAUUAAAGGCCUUACCAUUUAAUUACUCUGCCAAAGUGUGCCUGAAGCUUUGAAGUCUAUUAACCAACUAUUAUUGCAUGAGGCUCACAAUCUAGUUUAUACUAUGCUAAUGAUUGCAUAGUUUUGCCUGCUGUAGUAUGUUUGUAUGAAACCCUCUGUUGUUCAUUAUGCUCCUUAAGACUUUAAUUAAGGUGCAGAAUGGCCAACUGCUUGCUUACUUAUACGCAACGUGAUGUCUAAAUUUGUAACUUGUUUGUGUUUUUGAUUGGGCCCCAACAUCAUGCUCCUCUCGUGAGCUAAGAGGGAUUUUCGUAUGCAGGCUGCACAGACUAUCUUUUUUAUAAUUUUUAAAAUAUCACCUGCUUAUGCUUCAUGACAUGUAACAUUUUUUGUGAAAGUGACGUGUAACAUUAUUGUUAGUCCUGUUUUGCCAUGUAGUACGAAAUAGUGUCUUGUUCGCUUCACUGUUGUAACUAUAUUUUUGUCCUGGUCAUGUGUACUUACAGAAACAUUUCAGGAUGAAGUGACAUCGACACAAAAAUCUGCGAGCAGUGCGGCAUGGCCAUUACCGAAUGAUUAUGGAUUGGAAUUGGAAUGUGCUGAUGUUCUCGAACAUCAACUAGAGGUGGUAAGACAACGUGUACAUGAUUGUCAAUAUAUAAUCAACAAGUUGAGACUGGACAUGCAGGUAUUAGAUGCAGGAGUCAAAAAAUGAAACAAGACACCGAGGUAACCAUGAAGGAAUUGGAGAUUUUGUAGACUGAAAUUUGUGUUAUCUGAAUCCGGCCAAUCCUAUUUUCUGAAGAGAUUAUAGUUCAAAUGGAGUAAAGUUGAUGCGCGUCCAUGAUGUAUGAGCCGUAUUUGCCCAGUGUAUGUAAUUUGCUGUUUGUGUAUGCUUUAUUAUCACCUGUGCCGUACCAUAAUGCCCACUGGGUAUAAUCGGCUGUAAUUUCUUUAUUGUAUAGUGUAGGAUUAUUCUACCUUUCUAUGCCUUGAUCUCUUUUUUGUAUAGUGUAUGCUUUUUAGAGGUGAUAGUAUUGAGUAGGAUAAUUCUUUGAAUAUGCUAUAUCGUUCAAACGGGGGCCAACCCGCCCGACCAUGGGCCUUCUACGUCUCGUAGUAUCCAUGGGCCUUCUACGUCUCGUAGGAUCCAUGGGCCUUCUACGUCUUGCAGGAUCCAUGGGCCUUCUACGUCUCGCAGUGUCCAUGGGCCUUCUACGUCUGGCAGGAUCCAUGGGCCUUCUACGUCAAGUAGGAUCCAUGGGCCACCGACUCAUUUAUGGGUCUUGUACUGGCCUUUAAUGGGUCGUAGACGGGCCUAUAAUGGAAAUCGUACGUUUUAUUGGCUGACCAUAACGGGGCGUUAAUAGGCCGUAUUUGGUCAUGCUAUGAAAAUGGUCCAAUAGACUAACGGACCACAAAUGGGCCGACUGUAACGAUGGGCUGAAUUUGGCCCAUAAGCAGAAAAUGACAGUAACGGGCCGUAUGUAACCGAAUGCUGCAAAUAAGCCCAAGAAUAAAUGGGCUCUGAGAAGGCCGAAAGAUAACAUGGGAUGUAAACGGCCCAACUGAAUAACGGGCCCUUAAUGGGUAUAAAGCGAUACACUGUUCAUUACAGGCCAGUUUCACCACGGGCCGUUAAUGGGUCUAAAGUAAUACACUGUUCAUCGCGGGCCAGUUUCACCAUGGGCCGUUAAUAGGCCAAGAGUUACAUAGGGCUUCAUAUGGGCCAAAAGAUGUCAUGGGCCAUACAUGGGCCAGAAGUGAAAACGGCCUGAAAUCAUAUUGGAUGGCACAGAUGACGCUACUGGGCCUAAUUCAAAUAGGGCGUAACGGGCUUUGGGUUAGCGGGCUGUAAAUGGGCUAUAUGCGAAAGGCCGUUAAUAGGCUUUCCAUGGGCCGGCCCGUCACCUUUUGACCAAGUCAAACGGGCCGGCCUUUUCAUAGGAAUGGGCCUCUGUUGGGCCACGCCACGUGUCGACGUAUCAUAGGCGCCUUCUGUCCAAUGAGUGGAUGACAUCUGUCCCAACAAUGAGCCGACACGUGUUUCCUCCAGCCAAUGAUGAUUUUACGUGUGGAAAAUCCCCAUUGGUCGGAGCUGUUAACGGGUUAUCGGAUCCAAAACUCGACCCGAUAGCUUAACGGCGUUCUGUUACGGUGGAUGCCACGUGUCGGUCACCCUUGACGAAAGCACUUCUGUGACGCGCGAUUUAUCGUCAUGGAAGUGGACACUUCCGUGAUGAUAAUUUUGGUAAUGUCAUCGAACACUUCUACGACAGCACAGGUAUGACUAUCUCGAUUAUGUCAUAAAUUUGUCAUGGAUGUACAUGCAUGACAAAAAGCGCGACCUACUAUGACAAACACGUAUCAUCACGGAAGUGUAUUUUUUUGCAGUGCAUGGAUAUAGCACUAUAGGUGGAAUAGAAUAUGAUGGUGGAGGUUUAUAUGGAGAAGACAAAAAGGGAGAAAGUCUCACAUCGACGCGGCUAAUCAACGGGCUAUGGAGAUGCCCAUCAAUUGAUGUCAAUGUGAGGAGUAGGGAUUGCCAUGCAACGGAUGCACUAAGAGCUAUAAGUGUAUGAAAUCUCAAACUGAAAACUAAGUGGGUAUGCAUCCAACUUGCUUGCUCAUGAAGACCUAAGGCAUUUGAGGAAGCCCAUCAUUGGAAUAUACAAGCCAAGUUCUAUAAUGAAAAAUUCCCACUAGUAUACGAAAGUGACAACAUAGGAGACUCUCUAUAUGAAGAACAUGAUGCUACUCUGAAGCACAAGUGUGGUAAAAGGAUAGUAACAUUGCCCCUUUUCUUUUCUUUUUUUCUUUUUUUUCCUUUUUUGGGUGGGCUUCUUUGGCCCUUUUUUUUAUUUAGACUUCUUUGGCCUUUCCUUUUUUUGUUUUCUUUUUUCUUUUUUUCAUGGGGCAAUGCUCUAUAAUGAUGAUCGUCACGGUUUUAUUUACUUACAACUCAAUAUUACAACUCGAUACUAGAACAAAGAUAUGACUCUAUAUGAAUGCCUCCGGUGGUGUACCGGGAUGUGCAAUGAUCUAGCGUAGCAAUGACAUCAAAAAUCGGACAAGCCAUGAAAACAUCAUGCUAGCUAUCUUACGAUCAUGCAAGACAAUAUGACAAUGAAUGCCCAAGUCAUGUAUAUGAUGAUGAUGGAAGUUGCAUGGCAAUAUAUCUCGGAAUGGCUAUGGAAAUGCCAUGAUAGUUAGAUAUGGUGGCUGUUUUGAGGAAGAUAUAAAGAGGCUUAUGUGUGAUAGAGCCUAUCAUAUCAUGGGGUUUGGAUGCACCGGCGAAGUUUGCCCCAACUCUUCAGGUGAGAAAGGGCAAUGCACGGUACCGAAGAGGCUAGCAAUGAUGGAAGGGUAAAAGUGCGUAUAAUCCAUGGACUCACAUUAGUCAUACAGAACUCAUAUACUUAUUGCAAAAGUUUAUUAGCCCUGGAAGCAAAGUACUACUACGCAAGCCCCUAGGGGAAUAGAUUGGUAGGAAAGGACCAUCGCUCGUCCCCGACCGCCACUCAUAAGGAAGACAAUCAAAGAAACACCCCAUGCUUCAAAUUUGUCACACAACGGUUACCAUACGUGCAUGCUACGGGACUUGAAAACCUCAACACAAGUGUCUCUACAAUCCACAGCCACCCACUAGAAUGACUCUAAUAUCACCAUCUUUAUAUCGCAAAAGUAUUGCAAGGAAUCAAACAUAUCAUAUUCAGCGAUCUACAAGUUUAUGUAGGAUUUUAUGACUAACCAUGUGAUUGACCAAUUCCUCUCAUCUCUCUAAAUAGAUGUAAGUGAAGCAACAGAGUUUAAUUCUUUCUACAAAAGAUAUGCCCAUUCUCUAACAAAUAUAAGUUAAGCAAAAGAGCAUUCUACAAAUGGCAGUUUUCUAUGUGAAGAGAAACAGACAAUUCAAACUUCAAAUGAUAUAAGUGAAGCACAUGAAGCAUUCUAUAAAGCCAUACUCAAAAGAUUUAAGUGAAGUGCAAUGAGCAUUCUAUAAAUCAACCAAGGACUAUCUCAUACCAGCAUGGUGCAUAAAAGAAAAAUGAAAACUAAAUGCAAAAGACGCUCCAAGGUUGCACAUAUCACAUGAACGAAACGAAUACGAAAACAUACCGAUACUUGUUGAAGAAAGAGGGGAUGCCUUCCGGGGCAUCCCCAAGCUUAGACGCUUGAGUCUCCUUGAAUAUUUACUUGGGGUGCCUCGGGCAUCCCCAAGCUUGAGAUCUUGCCUCUCUUCCCUUUCCUCAUAUCGAGACAUCCUCGAUUAGACACUUCAUCCACACAAAACUUCAACAAAAAACUCGGUAAGAUCCGUUAGUAUAAUAAAGCAAAUCACUACUCUAAGUACUAUUGCAAACCAAUUCAUAUUUUGUUUUUGCAUUGUGUCUACUGUAAUAUAACUUUUUCAUGGCUUAAAUCCACUGAUAUAAAUUGAUAGAUUCCUCAGAACAAGCAAACUAUGCAUCAAAAACAGAAUCUGUCAAAAACAGAACAGUCUGUAGCAAUCUGAACAAUCACCGUACUUAUGGUACCCCAAUUCUUCUACCAAAAUUAGUUAAAAUAAACAAUUUGUACAGAAAGAUAGUGCAAAAAGAAUCAGAACCGUUUGACUUUCCAGUUAAAAAUGUAAAAUCACGCACUACAGCCAAAGUUUCUGUCAUGCACCGUACAAACCAACAAGCAUUGUAAACAACCUAAAGGCAAACCUUAGCACAUUAUUUUUAUAAUACAAUGGAAUUGUACAAGGGGAUAAUUAUUUUUGAUGAAAAUUUUCUGUAAUCAAGAUUCACAAAGUUUCGGUGAGCAUGAACAAAGUUCAAGGCUAGCUCCCACUUCAACAAUGCUUGUCUUUCUCACUUUCACUUUCCUUUUUGAAAAGUUUUUAGGUUCCCCUCUUUAUUUUUUCGUUUUUUGACUAUAUAAAAACACUCAACAGAAAUAAAUGACUCUCUAAAACUUCCGGGCUGUCUCCCUGGCAGCGCUUUCUUUAAAGCCAUUAAGCUAGGCAUUUAGUGCUCAAGUAAUGGAUCCACCCGGAUCCCAAGGUAUAUCAAAGCCAAUUUUAAUUAACAAUGAUUUUUAAUUUAGUAGUGAGCACAAAGUAACAUAUGUCAUGCAACAACAAAGUUUAACUCUCUUCCUAUGCAUCGUCAUGUCAUAAGAGAGCAAUUCAUGCACACAUAGUAAAGGCCAAUGCAUAGUAUAAGCAGUUUCUUGCAAUUUUAUCGUAUUGGAAACAUAGAGAGGUGGAGAUAUCGUUCCUAUCUCAUAAUAAUUGCAAGUAGGAGCAGCAAACACAUGCAUAUCACAUUCAUCAAAAUUAUCAAGUGCAAUGGUAAAAGGCAACCCAUCAAUAUAAUCCUUAAUAAGCAUAAACAUCUCCGAUAUAGUGUAGUUUGGAGAAUUCAAAAGGAUAAUAGGACUAUCAUGCGUGGGUGCAAUAGCAACAAUUUCAUGUUUAACAUAAGGAACUAUAGCAAGUUCAUCUCCAUAAGCAUAAUUCAUAUUGGCAUCUUGGCCACAAGUAUAGCAAGCAUCAUCAAAAAGGGAUAUUUCAAGAGAAUCAACGGGAUCAUAGCAAUCAUCAUAACAAUCAUCCUUCGGUAAGCACGAAGGGGAAUUAAACAAUGUAUGAGUUGAAGAGUUUACUCUCAGUAGAAGGUGGGCACGGGUGAUCAAUCCGCUCUUCCUCCUUUUGUUCUUCGCUCUCCUCAUCAUCUUUUUCAUCCAAUGAGCUCACAGUUUCAUCAAUUUCUUCUUCCAUAGCUUCCUGCAAAAUAUUAGUCUCUUCUUGGACAGCGGAGAAUGUCUCAAUAUAUAGUUUAACAUAGGCAUUGGAAGCAUAAUUAUCAUAACAAUAUUCAAGUAUGGCAAAUUUUUCAGAUUUGUAGAGAGUAGCAUCAUACUUUCCAAUCAAAGAAGCAAUUUCAUAAGCACCCUUAAAAGCAACAAAUUCUUCAAUUUGUUGAACAUCAUAGUAAUUAUAAACACCCUUAGCAUAUGAAGAUACGAUUCCAUCAUCAAUAAACUCACAUUGGUAGGGAAGGUGUUUCUUAGGGUUUUCAGAACAAAAAGUAAUAUCAUAUAUUUCACAUAAAUUCCAAGCAUAGCAUUGCAAACAAUGAAUUUGAUCCAGUAAAAGUUUCCCCUUCUCAGAUAUACGGUGUCGCACAUACAAGCAUGCUCAUCUAAAGAUUUUCCCUCAACUAAGCUAGUUGGGGUUUCAGCACAAGCACAAAGGGAUCGAAGAUGAUCCAAGUAAAAAGAUUCAGGAGUGUGAUAGAUUUUGAGUGGUUCUUCAACCAUUGGUUCAGUAGGCACAACUAAUUUCUUUGGUACUUUGCAUUUCCUACCCAUAACUAAAGAUAGCAAACAACUAAGAACAGCAAAUAAAAAUUACUUUGUGAUAAAGCAAACAAGCACACACACGAGAAUAUUCAUCCCACGCUAUGACUCCCUGGCAACGGCGCCAGAAAAAGGUCUUGAUGACCCGCAAGUAUACGGGAUAGUUGUAGCCUCUUUUGAUAAGUAAGAGUGUCGAACCCAACGAGGAGCUAAAUGUAGAACAAAUAUUCUCUCAAGUCCUAUCUGCCACUGAUAUGACUCUACGCACGCUUAGUGUUCGCUUUACCUAGAACAAGUAUGAAACUGGAAGUACUUUGUAGGUGUUGUUGGAUAGACUUGCAAUAUAAUAAAGACCACGUAAAUAAAAAGUAGGGGUUGUUUAGAUAAAUAGAUAAUAAAGUAAAUAUAGCGAGUGUGGAAAAGUGGUGGUAGGAGUUGUGAAAUUGUCCCUGAGCAAUUGACUACGUUACUAGACCGGUAAUCACUAUUGCAAUUUUAUUUGAGGGAGAGGCAUAAGCUAACAUACUUUCUCUUAUUGGAACAUAUGCACUUAUGAUUGGAACUCUAGCAAGCAUCCGCAACUACUACAGAUCACUAAGGUAAAACCCAACCAUACCAUUAAAGUAUCAAGUCCCCUUUAUCACAUACGAAAAAAACCUACUUACUCGGGUCUGUGCUUCUGUCACUCACGCCACCCACCAUAAGCAAAUCAUAAACAUAUUGCAAACCCUACAGCGGCAAUCCCUCACGCUUGCGGGACACGGAGGGCACAAUAGGACAGAACCAAUAAUAAAACAUGCAACUCAAACCAAUCAUAGCAAUUCAUCAAUCACCGGUAGGACAACGAAAAUCUACUCAGACAUCAUAGGAUGGCAACACAUCAUUAGAUAAUAAUAUGAAACAUAAAGCACCAUGUUCAAGUAGAGGGUACAGCGGGUUGCGGGAGAGUGGACCGCUGAAUAUAGAUGGGGGAAGGUGAUGGAGAUGUUGGUGAAGAUAGUGGUGUUGGUGAAGAUCGCGGUGAUGAUGAUGGCCCCCGGCAACGUUCCGGCGCCACCGGAAGCAAGGGGGAGAGAGCCCCCCUUCUUCUUCUUCCUUGACCUUAUCCCUAGAUGGGAGAAGGGUUUCCCCUCUGGUACUUGGCUCCCAUGGCUUGGGAGGGGCGAGAGGCCCUCCGAGAUUGGAUCUAUCUCUUUAUCUCUCUCUGUUUCUGCGCUCCCAGAUCCUUCCCCUUCACGUUUCUUUUAUAUCCGGAGAUCCGUAACUCCGAUUGGGGUGAAUCUUUUGCCCAGAUUUUUCUCAUAAAAUUAGCUUUCUUGCGGCAAAAGAAGAGCGUCAACUGCCUUACAGGUGGCCCAGGAGAGUGCCAGGCGUGCCCGGGGGGGAGGGCGCGCCCCCUAUCUCCUGGCCACCUCGGACACGGUUUCGCGUUGAUUCUUCCUCCGAAAAAUCCCAAAUAUUCCAAAAUAAUUCUCCAUCCGUUUUUAUCCCAUUUGGAUUCCGUUUGAUAUUGGGUUUCUGCGAAACAUAAAACAUGCAACAAACACAAACUAGCACCGGGCACUGGAUUAAUAUGUUUGUCCCAAAAAUAGUAUAAAAGGCUGCCAAAAGUAUAUGAAAUUUGAAGAAUAUUGGCAUGGAAUAAUCAAAAAUUAUAGAUAUGAAGGAGAUGUAUCAGACGCGGGAAACACAUGUCCAUUGGUCCCGGUUGGUGGCACCAACCGGGACUAAAGGGUGGCAUUGGUCCUGGUUGGUGCCACGGACCGGUACCAAUGCCCCCCCCCCUUUAGUCCCGGUUGGUGCCACCAACCGGGACCAAAGGCCUCUGCUUCCCGCCCUUUGGGCUACUAAAAAGAGACCUUUGGUCCCAGUGGUGGCACCAACCGGGACCAAAGGGGGGCAUUCGUCCCGGUUUGUGCCACGAACCGGGACCAAUGCUUUGUGUCUAUAAGCAUGACUUGUAAAUUUUUCAGUGUCAUCGACUAUUUGCCCCCCGACGACGCCGAGCUCAUCAGCACUGCCAGGCUGCCUGAUAACCCACAAGUAUACGGGAGUUGUAGCCUCUUUCGAUAAGUAAGAGUGUCGAACCCAACGAGGAGCUAAACGUCGAACAAAUACUCUCUCAAGUCCUAUCGGCCACUGAUACGACUCUACGCACGCUUGAUGUUCGCUUUACCUAGAACAAGUAUGAAACUAGAAGUACUUUGUAGGUGUUGUUGGAUAGGUUUGCAAGAUAAUAAAGAACACAUAAAUAAAAAGUAGGGGCUGUUUAUAUAAAGAUGCAAUAAAGUAAAUAAAGCGAGUGUGGAAAAGAGGUGGUAGGAGUUGUGGAAUUGUGCCUAAGCCAUUGACUACGUUACUAGACCGAUAGCAAGUUUUUAUGUGGGAGAGGCCCUGCUAGCAUGUCAUCCCUGACUUGGAAAUCUAUGCACUUAUGAUUGGAACUAUUAGCAAGCAGUCUGCAACUACUAACGUUCAUUAAGGUAAAACCCAACCAUAGCAUUAAGAUAUAUUGGUCCCCCUUCAAUCCCAUCUGUAUUAAUUUCUAUGCUAGUCUGGAGCUUCUGUCACUCUUGCCCUCCAAUACACAGUCCUAUCAACAUACAACUAACCCUAUGGUGUGAUCCACGUGCGCGCUCAUAUGAUGGGAACCAUAGGACAGCACCAUAACUACAAGCAAAUUAAAUCAAUCAUAGCAAUUCAUCAACCACCAAUAGGACAACGAAAAUCUACUCAGAGAUGAUAGGAUGGCAACACAUCAUUGGAAAAUAAUAUGAAGCAUAAAGCACCAUGUUCAAGUAGAGGGUACAGCGGGCUGCGGGAGAGUGGACCGCUGGAUAUAGAAGGGGGAAGGUGAUGGAGAUGUUGGUGAAGAUGAUGGCGGUGUUGGUGAAGAUCGCGGUGAUGAUGAUGGCCCCCGGCAGCGCUCCGGCACCACCGGAAGGAAGGGGGAGAGAGGCCCCCUUCUUCUUCUUCUUCCUUGACCUCCUACCUAGAUGGGAGAAGGGUUUCCCCUCUGGUCCUUGGCUCCCAUGGCUUGGGAGGGGCGAGAGCCCCUCCGAGGUUGGAUCUAUCUCUCUGUUUCUGCGUUCUCUGAUUCUUCCCCUUCACCGUUUCCUUUAUAUCUGGAGAUCCGUAACUCCGAUUAGAGUGAAUCUUUUGCCCAGAUUUUCUCGUGAAAUUAGCUUUCUUGCAGCAAAAUAAGGGCAUCANNNNNNNNNNNNNNNNNNNNNNNNNNNNNNNNNNNNNNNNNNNNNNNNNNNNNNNNNNNNNNNNNNNNNNNNNNNNNNNNNNNNNNNNNNNNNNNNNNNNNNNNNNNNNNNNNNNNNNNNNNNNNNNNNNNNNNNNNNNNNNNNNNNNNNNNNNNNNNNNNNNNNNNNNNNNNNNNNNNNNNNNNNNNNNNNNNNNNNNNNNNNNNNGCCCAGGGGGGCGCACCCCCCUGUCUCGUGGCCACCCCGGACACUGUUUCGCGUUGAUUCUUCCUCCGGAAAAUCCCAAAUAUUCCAAAAUAAUUCUCUGUCCAUUUUUAUCCCGUUUGGACUCUGUUUGAUAUUGGUUUUCUGUGAAACAUAAAACAUGCAACAGACAGGAACUGGCACUGGGCACUGGAUCAAUAUGUUAGUCCCAAAAAUAAUAUUAGAAGUUGCCAAAAGUAUAUUAAAGUUGUAGCAUAUUGGCAUGGAACAAUCAAAAAUUAUAGAUACGACGGAGAUGUAUCAGCAUCCCCAAGCAUAAUUCCUGCUCGUCCUGGAGUAGGUAAAUGAUAAAAAAAGUAAUUUUUGAUGUGGAAUGCUACCUAGCAUAAUCUUGAUAAUAUGUCUAAUCAUGGCAUGAAUAUUAAAAAACGAGUGAUUCAAAGCAAUAGUCUAUCAUUUGACAUAAAAACAAUAAUACUUCAAGCAUACCAACCAAGCAAUUAUGUGUUAUCGAAAUAACAUAGCCAAAGAAAACUCAUCCCUACAAAACCAUAUAGUCUGGCUAUGCUCCAUCUUCAUCACAUAAAGCAUUCAAAUCAUGCACAACCCCGAUGACGAGCCGAGCAAUUGGUUCAUACUAUUUAACGCGCUUCAGCUUUUUCAACUCUUACGCAAAACAUGAGCGCAAGCCAUGGACAUAGCACUAUGGUGGUAUAGAAUAUGAUGGUGAGGGUUUAUGUGGAGAAGACAAAAAGGGAGAAAAUCUCACAUCGACGUGGCUAAUCAACAGGCUAUGGAGAUGCCCAUCAAUUGAUGUCAAUGCGAGGAAUAGGGAUUGCCAUGCAACGGAUGCACUAAGAACUAUAAGUGUAUGAAAGCUCAAACUGGAAACUAAGUGGGUGUGCAUCCAACUUGCUUGCUCAUGAAGACCUAGGGCGUUUGAGGAAGCACAUCAUUGGAAUAUACAAGCCAAGUUCUAUAAUGAAAAUUCCCACUAGUAUAUGAAAUUGAAAGCAUAGGAGACUCUCUCUAUGAAGAACAUGGUGCUACUCUGAAGCACAAGUGUGGUAAAAGGAUAGUAACACUGCCCCUUCUCUCUUUUUCUCUUAUAUUUUUCUUUUAUUUUCAUUUUUUUCAUUUUCUUUCUUUCUUUUUGGUGGGCUUCUUUGGCCUCUUUUUUUAUUUGGGCUUCUUUGGCCUCUUUUAUUUUUCAUAAAGUCCGGAGUCUCAUCCCGACUUGUGGGGGAAUCAUAGUCUCCUUCAUCCUUUCCUCACUGGGGCAAUGCUCUAAUAAUGACGAUCAUCACACUUUUAUUUACUUACAACUCAAUAUUACAACUAUGACUCUAUAUGAAUGCUUCUGGUAGUGUACCGGGAUGUGCAAUGAUCUAGCAUAGCAAUGACAUCAAAAAACGGACAAGCCAUGAAAACAUCAUGCUAGCAAUCUUACAAUCAUGCAAAGCAAUAUGAAAAUAAAUGCUCAAGUCAUGUAUAUGAUGAUGAUGGAAGUUGCAUGGCAAUAUAUCUCAGAAUGGCUAUGGAAAUGUCAUAAUAGGUAGGUAUGGUGGCUGUUUUUAGGAAGAUAUAAUGAGGCUUAUGUGCGAUAGAGCGUAUCAUACCACGGGGUUUGGAUGCACCGGCGAAGUUUGCGCCAACUCUCGAGGUGAGAAAGGGCAAUGCACGGUACCGAAGAGGCUAGCAAUGAUGGAGGGGUGAGUGUGCGUAUAUCCAUGGACUCACAUUAGUCAUAAAGAACUCAUAUACUUAUUGCAAAAGUCUACUUAGCCCUCGAAGCAAAGUACUACUACGCAUGCCCCUAGGGGGAUAGAUUGGUAGGAAAAGACCGUUGCUCGUCCCCGACUGCCACUCAUAAGGAAAGCAAUCAAAAAGCACCUCAUGCUCCAACUUCGUUACGUAACGGUUCACCAUACGUGCAUGCUACGGGACUUGCAAACCUCAGCACAAGUAUUCCUCAAUUUAACAAUUACUCAACUAGCACGACUCUAAUAUCACCACCUUUAUAUGGCAAAACUAUUGCAAGGAAUCAAACAUGUCAUACUCAGCGAUCUACAAGUUUAUGUAGGAUUUUAUGACUAACCAUGUGAAUGACCAAUUCUUGUCAUCUCUCUAAAAGGAUAUAAGUGAAGCAAGAGAGUUUAAUUCUUUCUACAAAAGAUAUGCCCACACUCUAACAAAUAUAAGUGAAGCAAAAGAGCAUUCUACAAAUGGUGGUUGUCUAUAUGAAGAGAACAAGCAAUCCAAACUUCAAAUGAUAUAAGUGAAGCACAUGAAGCAUUCUAUAAAGCCAUACUCAAAAGAUUUAAGUGAAGUGCAAUGAGCAUUCUAUAAAUCAACCAAGGACUAUCUCAUACCAUCAUGGUGCAUAAAAGAAAAAUUAAAACUAAAUGCAAAAGACACUCCAAGACUUGCACAUAAUGCAUAAACAAAACGAAUUCGAAAACAUACCGAUACUUGUUGAAGAAAGAGGGGAUGCCUUCCGGAGCAUCCCCAAGCUUAGACGCUUGAGUCUCCUUGAAUAUUUACUUGGGGUGCCUCGGGAAUCCCCAAGCUUGAGCUCUUGCCUCUCUUUCUUUUCCUCAUAUCGAGACAUCCUCGAUUACACACUACAUCCACACAAAACUUCAACAGAAAACUCGGUAAGAUCCGUUAGUAUAAUAAAGCAAAUCACCACUCUAAGUACUGUUGCAAACCAAUUCAUAUUUUGUUUUGCAUUGUAUCUACUGUAAUAUAAAUUUUCUAUGUCUUAAUCCGCUGAUAUAAAUUGAUAGAUUCAUCAAAACAAGCAAACUAUGCAUCAAAAACAGAAUCUGUCAAAAACAGAAAAGUCUGUAGUAAUCUGAACAUUCACAAUAUUUCUGUUAUCCCAAAAAUUCUACCAAAAUUAGUAAAAAUGAAAUUUUUUUAUAGCAGGAAAGUGCAACAGGAAUCAGAACCAAUUGACGUUCCAGUUAAAAAUGUACAAUUGUGCACUACAACCAAAGUUUCUAUCCUGCACCGUACAAACCAACAAGCAUUGUAAACAUCCUAAAGGCAAGCCUUGGCACGUUAUUUUUAUAAUAAAAUGAAAUUAUACAAGGGGAUAAUAUUUUUUUUGAAAAGUUUCUGUAAUCAAGAUUCACAAAGUUUCCGUGAGCAUGAACAAAGUUCAAGGCUAUCUCCUACUUCAACAAUGCUUGUCUUUCUCACUUUCACUUUCCUUUUUGAAAAGUUUUUAGGUUCCCCUCUUUAUAUUUUUGUUUUUAAGCUAUAUAAAAGCACUCAACAGAAAUAAAUGACUCUCUAAGACUUCCGGGUUGUCUCGCUAGCAGCGCUUUCUUUAAACCCAUUAAGCUAGGCAUUUAGUGCUCAAAUAAUGAAUCCACCCGGAUCCCAAGGUAUAUCAAAGCCAAUUUUAAUCAACAAUGAUUUGUAAUUUAGUAGUGAGCACAAAGUAACAUAUAUCAAGCAAUAACGAAGUCUAUAUCUCUUCCUAUGCAUCGGCAUGUCAUAAAAGAACAAUUCAUGCACACCAAGUAAAGGCCAAUGCAUAGUAUAAGCAGUUUCUUGCAAUUUCAUAGUAUGGGAAACAUAGAGGUGUAGAAAGAGUUACUCUCUCAUAAUAAUUGCAAGUAGGAGCAGCAAGCACAUGCAUAUUAUAUCUAUCAAAAUCAUCAUGUGCAACGGUAAAAGGCAACCCAUCAAUAUAAUCCUUAAUAAGCACAAACUUCUCUGAUAAAGUGUAGUAGGGAGAAUUCAAAAGGAUAAUAGGACUAUCAUGCGUGGGUGCAAUAGCAACAAUUUCAUGUUUAACAUAAGGAACUAUAGCAAGUUCAUCUCCAUAAGCAUAAUUCAUAUUGGCAUCUUGGCCACAAGCAUAGCAAGCAUCAUCAAAAAGGGAUAUUUCAAACAAAUUCAAGGGAUCAUAACAAUCAUCAUAGCAAUCAUCAUUCGGUAAGCACGAAGGGGAAUUAAACAAUGUAUGAGUUGAAGAGUUACUCUCAUUAGAAGGUGGGCACGGGUAGCUAAUCCUCUCUUCCUCCUUUUGUGCUUCACUCUCCUCAUCAUAUUUUUCAUCCAAUGAGCUCACAGUUUCAUCAAUUUCUUCUUCCAUAGCUUACUGCAAAAUAUUAGUCUCUUCUUGGACAGUGGAGAAUUUCUCAAUAUAUGGUUUAACAUAGGCAUUAGAAGCAUAAUUAUCAUAACAAUAUUCAAGUAUGGAAAACUUUCAGAUUUGUAAAGAGUAGCAUCAUACUUUUCAAUCAAAGAAGCAAUUUCAAAAGCACCCUUAAAAGCAACAAAUUCUUCAAUUUGUUGAACAUCAUAGUAAUUAUAAACACCCUUAGCAUACGAAGAUACAAUUCCAUUAUCAAUAAACUCACAUUGGUAGGGAAGGUGUUUCUUAGGGUUUUCAGAACAACAAGUAACAUCAUAUAUUUCAUAUAAAUUCCUAGCAUUGCAAACGUUGAAUUUGAUCCCAUAAUAGUUUCCCUUUUUCAGAUAUACGGUGUCGCACAUAACAAGCAUGCUCAUCUAAAGAUUUUCCCUCAACUAAGCUAGUUGGGGUUUCAGCACGAGCACAAAGGGAUCGAAGAUGAUCCAAGUAAAAAGCUUCAGUAGUGUGAUAGAUUUUGAGUGGUUCUUCAACCAUUGGAGCAGUAGGUACAACUAAAUUUUUUGGUAUUUUGCGUUUCCUACACAUAACUAAAGAUAGAAAACAACUAAGAACAACAAAUAAAAAUUACUUAGUGAUAAAGAAAACAAGCACACACGAGAAUAUUCACCCCACACUAUGACUCCCCGGCAACGGCACUAGAAAAAGGUCUUGAUAACCCGCAAGUAUACGAGAGUUGUAGCCUCUUUCGAUAAGUAAGAGUGUCGAACCCAACAAGGAGCUAAAGGUAGAACAAAUACUCUCUCAAGUCCUAUUGGCCAGUGAUACGACUCUACGCACGCUUGACGUUCGCUUUACCUAGAACAAGUAUGAAACUAGAAGUACUUUGUAGGUGUUGUUGGAUAGGUUUGCAAGAUAAUAAAGAACACGUAAAUAAAAAGUAGGGGCUGUUUAUAUAAAGAUGCAAUAAAGUAAAUAAAGCGAGUGUGAAAAAGUGGUGGUAGGAGUUAUGGAAUUGUCCCUAAGCAAUUGACUAUGUUACUAGACCGAUAGGAAGUUUUUAUGUGGGAGAGGCCCUGCUAGCAUGUCAUCCCUGACUUGGAAUUCUAUGCACUUAUGAUUGGAACUAUUAGCAAGCAGUCAGCAACUACUAACGUUCAUUAAGGUAAAACCCAACCAUAGCAUUAAGAUAUAUUGGUCCCCCUUCAAUCCCGUAUGUAUCAAUUUCUAUGCUAGUCUGGAGCUUCUGUCACUCUUGCCCUCCAAUACACAGUCCUAUCAACAUACAACUAACCCUAUGGUGUGAUCCACAUGCGCACUCAUAUGAUGGGCACCAUAGGACAGCAAUAUAACCACAAGAAAAUUAAAUCAAUCAUAGCAAUUCAUCCAUCACCAAUAGGACAACGAAAAUCUACUCAGACAUCAUAGGAUGGCAACACAUCAUUGGAAAAUAAUAUGAAGCAUAAAGCACCAUGUUCAAGUAGACGGUACAACGGGUUGCGGGAGAGUGGACCAUUGGAUAUAGAAGGGGGAAGGUGAUGGAGAUGUUGGUGAAGAUGACAGCGGUGUUGGUGAAGAUCGCGGUGACGAUGAUGGCCCCCGGCAGCGCUCCGGCGCCACCAGAAGCAAGGGGGAGAGAGGCCCCCUUCUUCUUCUUCUUCUUCUUCCUUCACCUCCUACCUAGAUGGGAGAAGGGUUUCCCCUCUGGUCCUUGGCUCCCAUGGCUUGGGAGGGGCGAGAGCCCCUCCGAGAUUGGAUCUAUCUCUCUGUUUCUGCGUUCUCUGAUUCUGCCCCUUCACCGUUUCCUUUAUAUUUGGAGAUCCGUAACUCCGAUUGGAGUGAAUCUUCUGCCCUGAUUUUUCUCGUAAAAUUAGCUUUCUUGCAGCAAAAGAAAGGCAUCGACCACUGUACGGGGGGCCCAUGAGAGUCCAGGGCGCGCCUAGGGGGGAGGGCGCGCCCCCCUGUAUCGUGGCCACCCCGGACACCGUUUCGCGUUGAUUCUUCCUCCGGAAAAUCCCAAAUAUUCCAAAAUAAUUCUCCGUCCGUUUUUAUCCCGUUUGGACUCUGUUUGAUAUUGGUUUUCUGCGAAACAUAAAACAUGCAACAGACAGGAACUGGCACUGGGCACUGGAUCAAUAUGUUAGUCCCAAAAAUAAUAUAAAAAGUUGCCAAAAGUAUAUGAAAGUUGUAGCAUAUUGGCAUGGAAGAAUCAAAAAUUAUAGAUACGACGGAGACGUAUCACUGCCCGUGCUCGCCGUCGCCGCCCCACGGUCACCAUCGCCGUUGCCGUCACUGCCCGCUCCUCAUUGCCGAAGCCCCGCGCCCUUGCCCUGCCCCGACGAGCCGCCCCGGCCCAUGCCCUUGCCCCGACGCGCCGCCCCGGCCCAUGCGCCCCUGCCCGACGCGCCGCCCCGGCCCGUGCCCCUGCCCCGACCACACGCCGCCGCCACGUUCAGUCCGGCCGGCCUUCCUCUCUGUUUUUUUCAUAUAUAUGAUGUUUUUUAGAUUAUAUGUAUAUGUGGGAUUAUAUGUAUGUGUGUAUAUAUGAUUAUAUGUCCUAUUUUUCCAGAUUUUUUGUUCAUACAUAUGAUGAUUUGUUUUUUUUUUGCAUUCUUAUAAAAAUGUAUAUAUGUAUGUAUAUUCUCUGUGUAUAUAUGUUCAUAUAUGCAAAAGNNNNNNNNNNNNNNNNNNNNNNNNNNNNNNNNNNNNNNNNNNNNNNNNNNNNNNNNNNNNNNNNNNNNNNNNNNNNNNNNNNNNNNNNNNNNNNNNNNNNNNNNNNNNNNNNNNNNNNNNNNNNNNNNNNNNNNNNNNNNNNNNNNNNNNNNNNNNNNNNNNNNNNNNNNNNNNNNNNNNNNNNNNNNNNNNNNNNNNNNNNNNNNNNNNNNNNNNNNNNNNNNNNNNNNNNNNNNNNNNNNNNNNNNNNNNNNNNNNNNNNNNNNNNNNNNNNNNNNNNNNNNNNNNNNNNNNNNNNNNNNNNNNNNNNNNNNNNNNNNNNNNNNNNNNNNNNNNNNNNNNNNNNNNNNNNNNNNNNNNNNNNNNNNNNNNNNNNNNNNNNNNNNNNNNNNNNNNNNNNNNNNNNNNNNNNNNNNNNNNNNNNNNNNNNNNNNNNNNNNNNNNNNNNNNNNNNNNNNNNNNNNNNNNNNNNNNNNNNNNNNNNNNNNNNNNNNNNNNNNNNNNNNNNNNNNNNNNNNNNNNNNNNAUAACUUUGACAUGAGGAGGGGGAGGGGGUCGAGGGGUCGAGGGUUCGAGGGUCGUCGAGGGUUCGAGGGUUCGAGGGUCAAGGGGUCGAGGGUUCGAGGGUUCUAGGGUUCUAGGGUCGAGGGUUCGAGGGUCUUAUUUUGUUUGAUGAAUGCUUUCUGUUAAAACUUGUAUUAAGUUUGUUCGAUGAAUGUUUCAUGGGAGAGAGGGAGUAAAAACUCAUCAGACAUGAGGGGGGGAGGAGUCCCCCUCCAGUUCCUAACUCUCUCGGGAAUUCAACAUAUAUUCAACAUGAGGGGGGGUCGAUACCCCCUCCCCGAUAACUUCGACAUGAGGGGGGGUCGAUAUACCCCCUCCCCGAUAACAUUUUUUCCAUGUAUGUAUGUCGUCAUUGUCGAUAUACCCCCUCCUUUACCAAGUUCAAAGAGCGUUGUCGCCGGGGCCACCCCGAACCCUUUAAGCGUUGGUGAGGCCACCCCAAACCCUAGAGAAGCGUCGAGGCCAUUAAUUAAUAUAAUUCCUUGUUGUGAAUAGCUAUAUCUAGGUCUACGUUUGCCUCUAAUCUAUCUAUCUGUCAUGUUUGUAUAAUAAUUGUCAUGUUGUAAUAUUUGCAAAAACUAUGGAGCAGGCCGAGGCGAGGAAGCAGAACGGGUGUUGGGGGACAUAAUCGCAGCCGGAGCUGAUGUCAUGUCGUAUCUCAACGAAACCGAUGGUCUGUAAGGAGAGGGUGAAGAAGCAGGCUACGAUUAUCGAACAGCGGAUGAGGAAGGACAUGAUUAUGAUGGCUCCGGUGACCGAAUGUCGGUGCAAGAAGGAGACCGUGAUGACGGCUCCGGUGACCGAACAUAGUCCAGCUAGGUAUAUAUAUUAAUUAAGCCUAUGCUGACUAGCUAAUUGAUGCAUUCAUUGUUUUGGUAUCUACACAUAUUAACUCUCGUCUUUCUUCUUAUUUCUAGCCCUCCGGAUCGAGCACAACUUCGGUAAAGAGAUGAGGCCUGAACAAAAAGUUGCGCUCGGAUGAAAGGUUCACGAUCACAGCAAUCGUGCGCGAUGGCCAACCGAUUGAACCCCUCCGGACCAAGGACGCAUUUACUGCUCAGUGCGGAGUUCUUGUUAGGGACAUGAUCCCGAUCAGCAUCGAGCUAUGGAAUCAGCCUAAGGAUGAAGAGCUUCAAGUUUCUUUUGUCGAAGAUAGACAGAAAGAGGAUCUUUGGAAAGCGCUGAAGGUAAAUUUCACCCUACCGGAAGAGGAGGAUCCGGAGAAUCGAGUUAUGGAGCCAAUGAUCAAGUCCUUUGCGUUUAAGAAGAUGGCAGAUCUAUUCAGGAGGUGGAAGAAUGAGCUGAAAGCAAAGUUUGUCGACAAAAAAAGACACCAGAAUUCGUCGGCCGAUUUGAGAAGCUCAAAGAUCAAUGGGACGCAUUUGUGGCCAACAAGACAUCGGAGAGGAGUAAGAAGAUGUCAGCGACAAACAAGAUAAAUGCUGUGAAGAAGGAGCAUCACCAUCGCACGGGGUCAGGUGGCUACCUCAAAGCCUGACCAUUGUGGGCCAAGGCUGAGAACGACCUGCUUGAUAAAGGGGUCGAACCAGAGAUAUUGAACUGGCCAGACCGUUGCCGGACUUGGUUCUUCGGGGUUGGCGAAACCUUGGACCCUGUAACAGGGAAGUGCGUUUGGACGAGGGAGCAACUACAAAUACCCCUCACGAAGCUUCAGCACUAUAUUAAUGCAGCGCGGGAAGGGACGUUCGUUCUAGACAGAGAGAAGGACGAGCUCACAAUGGCCCUCGGGAAUCCUGAGCACCCUGGACGGACACGAGGCACGCGAGGCUCCGUUCCGUGGAAGGCUGGGUUUCCGGAUGCAGGCAGUUACAAAUGCCAAGAGAGGAGGACGAAAGUGGAGCAGAGCGAACUGCAGGAGCUGCACGCAAGGGUACGGAAGUUAGAGGAAUGAGAUGCAGUUCGAAGCAAGCGACCUGCCGAAGCUACCCCCGAAGCUACCCCACCAUCUCAGCAGAGAAGCAGUGUGGCUUCCACCGAGCUGCUUCAGCUAGAGCCUAUCUUCACGGCUCCUCCUAGCUACCCCGUGGAUGCUAUCAAAGAGUCUCAACAAUGCCAUCUUAUGACGCAAUGGCAGAACUACAAAGUCAAGGCGGCUGUCGGCUCUGUUCGACCUCCUGAACCUGGCACAACUUUUCACUGCCGUCCAAUUCCAGAAGGAUAUGCUAGGGUGAUGGAGGACGAAAUAACGGAGGGAUUUGAGGAGCUCGUUCUUGACCACCCUACCGGUGAUGGGGAGACUCGGCUGGGUUCUGCUUUGAAGACUCCAUGCCUAUGGCGGAAGGAGCUCAUCAACCUUCCGAACUGGACGCCUCCGCGUCCUCCUCCUCCUCCUCCUCCGGCGAGUCAGGGCACUCCGCCUCCUCCUCCGCCUGCUCCUCCGGCGAGUGAUCGGGGCACUCCGCCUCCUUCUCCGAUGUGUGGCGACACUCCGCCUCCUUCUCCACCUGCGCCGGCGCGCCCGACCAGCCAGCCUCCUCCUUCUUCGCCUCGUCAGCAAGGGCGGAAUAGACCCGCCGCUGCUCCGGCGCGUCGCAGUCCUUCUCCUCCGCCUCAUAAGCAACUAAAGAAGAAAGCCGCAGCCGCUCGGCCUGCUCCGGCGUCUAGCAGUACAGGCGAGAGGCAAUACAGAUUCGGUCCAUCUCUCAAGACUCCAGAGAAGUUAUCAUACGAGAUGACCAAACAGGAAAACGAGGAGAUCUGUCAAGCCCAAGUGAAGGACUACUUCGCAACGCAAAGAGCUAAGAGACAUCCACCUUCGGAGGAGAAGAUGGAUCCGGUGAAAGCGAAGCGCACUUUCGAUGCUCUACAGUGACCACCACCGUCUCCCCUGCAAACCAACUAUGAGCGCAUUAAUGAGAAGACAUAUAAGUAAGCGAAGCGGUCGGGAAGUACUUGCAGUGACAAAAGGUUACAAGAACGAAGAACUUGGAAAAAAAUUCCCCAGCUCGACGAACUAGCAAACCAAUCGUGCCCUAAUAACCUACAAGUAUACGGGGUACUUGUAACCUCUUUCGAUAAGUAAGAGUGUCGAACCCAACGAGGAGCUAAAGGUAGAACAAAUAUUCUCUCAAGUCCUAUCUGCCACUGAUACGACUCUACGCAUGCUUAGUGUUCGCUUUACCUAGAACAAGUAUGAAACUAGAAGUACUUUGUAGGUGUUGUUGGAUAGGUUUGCAAGAUAAUAAAGAACACGUAUAUAUAAACUAGGGGUUGUUUAGAUAAAGAAGCAAUAAAGUAAAUAUAGCGAGUGUGGAAAAGUGGUGGUAGGAGUUGUGAAAUUGUCCCUAAGCAACUGACUACUUUACUAGACCGAUAAUCACUAUUGCAAUUCUAUUUGAGGAAGAGGCAUAAGCUAACAUACUUUCUCUUCUUGGAUCAUAUGCACUUAUGAUUGGAACUCUAGCAAUCAUCUGCAACUACUAAAGAUCAUUAAGGUAAAACCCAACAAUAGCAUUAAAGUAUCAAGUCCCCUUUAUCCCAUACACAAACAACCUACUUACUCGGGUCCGUGCUUCUGUCACUCACGCCACCCACCAUAAGCAAAUCAAAAACAUAUUACAAACCGUACAGCGGGAAUCCCUCACGCUUGUGCGACACAGAGGGCACCAUAGGACAACACCAAUAAUAAAACAUGCAACUCAAACCAAUCAUAGCAAUUCAUCAAUCACCGAUAGGACAACAAAAAUCUACUCACAUAUCAUAGGAUGGCAACACAUCAUUGGAUAAUAAUAUGAAGCAUAAAGCACCAUGUUCAAGUAGAAGGUACAGCGGGUUGCGGGAGAGUGGACCGCUGAAUAUAGAUGGGGGAAGGUGAUGGAGAUGUUGGUGAAGAUGGCGAAGGUGUUGGUGAAGAUCGCGGUGAUGAUGAUGGCCCCCAGCAGUGUUUCGGCGCCACCGAAAGCAAGGGGGAGAGAGCCCCCCUUCUUCUUCUUCUUCCUUGACCUUCUCCCUAGAUGGGGGAAGGGUUUCCCCUCUUGUCCCUGGCUCCCAUGGCGUGGGAGGGGCGAGAGACCCUCCGAGAUUAGAUCUGUCUCUCUGUCUCUCUCUGUUUAUGCGUUCUCAGAUCCUUCCCUUUCACCGUUUCUUUUAUAUCCAGAGAUCCGUAACUCCGAUUGGGGUGAAUAUUUCGCCCCGAUUUUUCUCAUAAAAUUAGCUUUCUUGCGGCAAAAGAAGAGCGUCAACCGUCUUACGAGGGGCCCAUGAGGGUCCAGGGCGCACCAGCCCCCCUGGGGCGCGCCCCCCUGCCUCAUGGCCCCCUCGGGCACCGUCUCGCGUUGAUUUUACUUCCCAAAAAUCCCAAAUAUUCCAAAAUAAUUCUCUCCAUUUUUAUCCUGUUUGGACUCCGUUUGAUAUUGGGUUUCUGUGAAACAUAAAACAUGCAACAAACAUGAACUAGCACUGGGCACUGGAUCAAUAUGUUAGUACCAAAAAUAAUAUAAAAAGUUGCCAAAAGUAUAUGAAAGUUGAAUAAUAUUGGCAUGGAACAAUAAAAAAUUAUAGAUACGACGGAGAUGUAUCAGCAUCCCCAAGCCUAAUUCCUGCUCGUCCUCGAGUAGGUAAAUGAUAAAAAAAGAUAUUUUUUGAUGUGGAAUGCUACCUAGCAUAAUCUUGAUCAUGUAUCUAAUCAUGGCAUGAAUAUUAAGACACAUGUGAUUCAAAGCAAUAGUCUAUCAUUUGACAUAAAAUGGUAAUACUUCGAGCGUACUAAUAAAGCAAUCAUGUCUUUUCAAAACAACAUGGCCAAAGAAAGUUAUCGCUACAAAAUCAUAUAGUAUGGCUAUGCUCUAUCUUCAUCACACAAAGUAUUUAAUCAUGCACAACCCCAAUGACAAGCCAAACAAUUGUUUCAUACUUUAGUAAUCUCAAACCUUUUCAACUUUCACGCAAUACAUGAGCGUGAGCCAUGGACAUAGCACUAUAUGUGGAAUAGAAUGGUGGUUGUGGGGAAGACAAAAAGGGAGAAGAUAGUCUCACAUCAACUAGGCAUAUCAACGUGCUAUGGAGAUGCCCAUCAAUAGGUAUCAGUGUGAGUGAGUAGGGAUUGCCAUGCAACGGAUGCACUAGAGCUAUAAGUGUAUGAAAGCUCAAACUGAAAACUAAGUGGGUGUGCAUCCAACUUUCUUGCUCAUGAAGACCUCGAGCAUUUGAGGAAGCCCAUCAUCGGAAUAUACAAGCCAAGUUCUAUAAUGAAAAUUCCCACUAGUAUAUGAAAGUGAAAGCAUAGGAGGCUCUCUCUAUGAAGAACAUGGUGCUACUCUGAGGCACAAGUGUGGUAAAAGGAUAGUAGCAUUGCCCCUUCUCUUUUUUUCUCUCAUUUUUUUUAUUUUCUCUUUUUUGAUGGGCUUCUUUGGCCCCUUUCUUUUGUUUGGGCUUCAUUGGCCUUUCUCUUUUCUUUAUUAAGUCCGGAGUCUCAUAGUCUUCAUCAUCCUUUCCUCACUAGGGCAAUGCUCUAAUAAUGAUGAUCAUCACACUUUUAUUUACUUACAACUCAAUAUUACAACUCGAUAUCUAGAACAAAGAUAUGACUCUAUAUGAAUGCCUCCGACGGUGUACCGUGAUGUGCAAUGAUCUAGCGUAGCAAUGACAUCAAAAAACGGACAAGCCAUGAAAACAUCAUGCUAGCUGUCUUACGAUCAUGCAAAGCAUUAUGACAAUGAAUGCUCAAGUCAUGUAUAUGAUGAUGAUGAAAGUUGCAUGGCAAUAUAUUUCGGAAUGGAUAUGGAAGUGCCAUGAUAGGUAGGUAUGGUGGCUGUUUUGAGGAAGGUAUAAGGAGGGUGUAUGGUACCAGCGAAAGUUGCGCGGCACAAGAGAGGCUAGCAAUGGUGGAAGUGUUGGGGAACGUAGUGAUUUCAAAAAAUUUCCUACGCACAUGCAAGAUCAUGGUGAUGGUAUAGCAACGAGAGGGAAGAGUGUUGUCCACGUACCCUCAUAGACCGUAAGCGGAAGCGCUAUGACAACGCGGUUGAUGUAGUCGUGCGUCUUGACGAUCCGACCGAUCCAAGCACCGAACGUACGGCACCUCCGUGUUGAGCACACGUUCAGCUCGAUGACGUUCCCCGGGCUUCAAUCCAGCAAAGCGUCGGGGAUGAGUUCUGUCAGCACGAUGGCGUGCUGACGAUGAUAAUGUUCUACUGGCGCAGGGCUUCGCCUAAACUCCGCGACGAUAUGACCGAGGUGGAAUAUGAUGGAGGGGGGCACCGCACACGGCUAAGGAACGAUCCGUAGAUCAACUUGUGUGUCAUGGGGUGCCCCCCUGCCCCCGUAUAUAAAGGAGCAAGGGGGAGGGGCGGCCGGCCAAGGGAGGGCGCGCCAGGGAGGAGUCCUACUCCCACCGGGAGUAGGACUCCUUCCUUUCCUAGUCCAACUAGGAGAGGGGAAGGAAGGGAAGGAGAACGAGAAGGAGAGGGAGGAAAAGGAGGAAAGGGGGCCAGCCCCCUAGUCCAAUUCGGUUUGGGCUAGGGGGCCGCGCGCCCUGCCUCCUCUCUUCCACCACUUGGCCCAUGAGGCCCAUUGCUUCUUCCUCGUAUUCCCGUAACUCCCCGGUACCCCCGAAAAUACCCGAAUCACUCAGUACCUUUCCGAACUCCGAAUAUAGUCGUCCAAUAUAUCGAUCUUUACAUCUCAACCAUUUCGACACUCCUCGUCAUGUCCCCGAUCUCAUCCGGGACUCCGAACUCCUUCGGUACAUCAAAACUCAUAAACUCAUAAUAUAACUGUCAUCGAAACCUUAAGCAUGCGGACCCUACGGGUUCGAGAACUAUGUAGACAUGACCUAGAACUAUUCUUGGUCAAUAACCAAUAGCGGAACCUGGAUGCUCAUAUUGGCUCCUACAUAUUCUACGAAGAUCUUUAUCGGUCAAACCGCAUAACAACAUACGUUGUUCCCUUUGUCAUCGGUAUGUUGCUUGCCCGAGAUUCAAUCGUCGGUAUCCAAUACCUAGUUCAAUCUCGUUACCGGCAAGUCUCUUUACUUGUUACGUAAUGCUAGGGAUGGCAAUGGGUCGGGUUUGGGGCGGGUGGAGCUGGUCCAAAUCCAACCCAUGACCCAUCUUCCUACCCUCUACCCAUCCACCUAAUUAUCCAUGGGCACAACUUGUGCCCAUGCCCAAACCCGCUGGAUACCCACAUACCCAUGGAGCUCCAUGGGCAUGGAAAAGUCAGCAUGAAGCCUUCCCAAAGAUCAAAUUAACUCAUCAGCAUUCACUCAAAAAUGUCAACAUAAGGUACAUGCAUAAGUAGGCAACAACUCGAUGAGUCCUUAAGUGUGACAUACCAGAGGUUGAUUCUCCAGCAUAUAGAUUAUGGCACCAGUUGCAUAUUGCAUGCCAUUUCCCAUUGAUUCUUUCUUUCUAUUGUCACUGGCAUAUGGCCCCACAUGUCAUACGGGUAUCCAUUGGAUAUCCAUGGAGCACAAACUACAACCGUGCCCAACCCGGCUGCUCGUGGGUAUCCAUAUCCAUGGACCCAUGGGCAGAAAUGCGCUCCAUACCCUUGCCCAACCGGGUCGGGUAUCCAUGGGUAUCCAGAUCCAUGGAUAAAAUUGCCAUCCCUACGUAAUGCAUCAUUCCGUAACUAACUCAUUAGCUACAUUGCUUGCAAGGCUUAUAGUGAUGUGCAUUACCGAGAGGGCCCAGAGAUACCUCUCCGACAAUCGGAGUGACAAAACCUAAUCUCGAAAUACGCCAACCCAACAUGUACCAUUGGAGACACCUGUAGUACUCCUUUAUAAUCACCCAGUUACGUUGUGACGUUUAGUAGCACCCAAAGUGUUCCUCCGGUAAACAGGAGUUGCAUAAUCUCAUAGUUACAGGAACAUGUAUAAGUCAUGAAGAAAGCAAUAGCAACAUACUAAACGAUCAAGUGCUAAGCUAACGGAAUGGGUCAAGUCAAUCACAUCAUUCUUCUAAUGACGUGAUCCCAUUAAUCAAAUGACAACACAUGUCUAUGGUUAGGAAACAUAACCAUCUUUGAUUAAUGAGCUAGUCAAGUAGAGGCAUACUAGUGACACUAUGUUUGUCUAUGUAUUCACACAUGUAUUAUGUUUCCGGUUAAUACAAUUCUAGCAUGAAUAAUAAACAUUUAUCAUGAAAUAAGGAAAUAAAUAAUAACUUUAUUAUUGCCUCUAGGGCAUAUUUCCUUCAGUCUCUCACUUGCACCAGAGUCAAUAAUCUAGUUCACAUCGCCAUGUGAUUUAACAUCAAUAUUCAUAUCUGCAUAUGAUUAACACCCAUAGUUCAGGUCGUCAUGUGACCAACACCCAAAGGGUUUACUAGAGUCAAUAAUCUAGUUCACAUCGCUUAUGUGAUUAACACCCAAAGAGUACUAAGGUGUGAUCAUGUUUUUUCUCGUGAGAGAAGCUUAGUCAACGGGUCUGUCACAUUCAGAGCCGUAUGUAUUUUGCAAAUAUUCUAUGUCCACAAUGCUCUGCACGGAGCUACUCUAGCUAAUUGCUCCCACUUUCAAUAUGUAUCCAGAUUGAGACUUAGAGUCAUCUGGAUUGGUGUAAAAGCUUGCAUUGUUGUAACUUUUACGACGGGCUCUUUUAUUACCUCCAUAAUCGAGAAACAUCUCCUUAGUCUUCACUAAGGAUAUUCUUGACCGUUGUCCAGUGAUCUACUAUUAGAUCAAAAUUGUAUUCCUUUGCCAAACACAGAGCAAGGUAUACAAUAGGUCUGUUUCAUAGCAUAGCAUACUUUAUAGAACCUAUGACUGAGGCAUAGGGAAUGACUUUUCAUUCUCUUUCUAUUUUCUGCCAUGGUAGGGUCUUGAGUCUUACUCAACUUCACACCUUGCAACACAGGCAAGAACUCCUUCUUUGACUGUUCCAUUUUGAACUAUUUCAAAAAUUUAUCAAGGUAUGUACUCAUUGAAAAAUCUUAUCAAGCAUCUUGAUCUAUCUAUAUAGAUCUUGAUGCUCAAUAUGUAAGCAGCUUCACCGAGGUCUUGCUUUGAAAAACUCUUAUUCAAGUAUCCUUUCAUGCUAUCCAGAAUUUCCAUAUCAUUUCCAAUUAACAAUAUGUCAUCCACAUAUAAUAUUAGAAAUGCUACAGAGCUCCCACUCACUUUCUUGUAAAUACAGGCUUCUUCAAAAGUCUAUAUAAAACCAUAUGCUUUGAUCAACUCAUCAAAGCAUAUAUUCCAACUCCGAGAUGCUUGCACCAGUCCAUAGAUGGAUCACUGGAGCUUGCACAAUUUGUUAGCACCUUUAGGAUUGACAAAACCUUCUGGUUGCAUCAUAUACAACUCUUCUUUAAGAAAACCAUUAAGGAAUGCAGUUUUGUUUAUCCAUUUGCCAGAUUUCAUAAAAUGCGGCAAUUGCUAACAUGAUUCAGACAGACUUAAGCAUAGAUACGAGUGAAAAUCUCUCAUCGUAGUCAACACCUUGAACUUGUCGAAAACCUUUUGCGACAAUUCUAGCUUUGUAGAUAGUAACACUAUCAGCGUCCGUCUUCCUCUUGAAGAUCCAUUUAAUCUCAAUGUCUCACCGAUCAUUGGGCAAGUCAAUCAAAUCCAUACUUUGUUUUCAUACAUGGAUCUUAUCUCAGAUCUCAUGGCCUCAAGCCAUUUUGCGGAAUCUCGGCUCACCAUCGCUUCUUCAUAGUUCAUAGGUUCGUCGUGGUCUAGUAACAUAACUUCCAGAACAAGAUUACCAUACCACUCUGGUGCGGAUCUUACUCUGGAAGACCUACGAGGUUCUGUAGUAACUUAAUCUGAAGUUUCAUGAUCAUCAUCAUUAACUUCCUCACUAAUUGGUGUAGUAGUCACAGGAACAGAUUUCUGUGAUGAACUACUUUCAAAUAAGGGAGCAGGUACAGUUACCUCAUCAAGUUCUACUUUCCUCCCACUCACUUCUUUCGAGAGAAACUCCUUCUCUAGAAAGGAUCCAUUCUUAGCAACGAAUGUUUUGCCUUUGGAUUUGUGAUAGAAGGAGUACCCAACAGUUUCCUUUGGGUAUUCUAUGAAGACGCACUUCUCCGAUUUGGGUUCGAGCUUAUCAGGUUGAAAACCUUUUUCAUAUAAGCAUCGCAACUCCAAACUUUAAGAAACGACAGCUUAGGUUUACUGCUAAACCAUAGUUUAUAUGAUGUCGUCUCAACGGAUUUAGAUGGUGCCCUUUUAACGUGAAUGCAGCUGUCUCUAAUGCAUAACCCCAAAACAAUAAUGGUAAAUCAGUAAGAGACAUCAUAGAUCGCACCAUAUCCAAUAAAGUGCGGUUACAACGUUCAGACACACCAUAACGUUGUGGUGUUCCAGGUGGCGUGAGCUGUGAAACUAUUCCACAUUGUUUUAAUUGAAGACUAAACUCGUAACUCAAAUAUUCAUCUCCGCGAUCAAAUUGCAGAAACUUUAUUUUCUUGUUACGAUGAUUCUCCACUUCACUCUGAAAUUCUUUGAACUUUUCAAAUGUUUCAGACUUGUGCUUCCUUAAGUAGAUAUACUCAUAUCUGCUCAAUUCAUCUUGUGAAGGUCAGAAAAUAACGAUACCCACCACGAGCAUCAACACUCAUUGGACCGCAUACAUCGGUAUGUAUUAUUUCCAAUAAGUCACUAGCUCGUUCCAUUAUUCCAGAGAACGGAGUUUUAGUCAUCUUGCCCAAAAGGCACGGUUCGCAAGCAUCAAAUGAUUCAUAACCAACAGAUUCCAAAAAUCCAUCUUUAUGGAGUUUCUUCAUGCGCUUUACACCGAUAUGACCCAAACGGCAGUGCCACAAAUAAGUUGCACUAUCAUUAUCAACUUUGCAUCUUUUGGCAUCAAUAUUAUGAAUAUGCGUAUCACUACGAUCGAGAUCCAACAAACUAUUUUUAUUGGGUGUAUGACCAUCGAAGGCUUUAUUCAUGUAAACAGAAUAACAAUUAUUCUCUGACUUUAAAUGAAUAACCGUAUUGCAAUAAACAUGAUCAAAUCAUAUCCAUGCUCAACGCAAAUGCCAAAUUUAUUUAGGUUCAACACUAAUCUCGAAAGUGUAGGGAGAUUGUGAUGAUGAUCAUAUCAAUCUUGGAACUACUUCCAACACACAUCGUCACUUCACCCUCAACUAGUCUCUGUUUAUUCUGUAACUCCUAUUUCGAGUUACUAAUCUUAGCAACCGAACAAGUAUCAAAUACUCAGGGGCUACUAUAAACACUAGUAAAGUACACAUCAAUAACAUGUAUAUAAAAUAUACCCUUGUUCACUUUGCCAUCCUUCUUAUCCACCAAAUAUUCAAGGCAUUUCCGCUUCUAGUGACCAUUUCCUUUACAGUAUAAUCACUCAGUUUCAGGAUUUGGUCCAGCUUUGGGCUUCUUCGCGGGAGUGACAACUUGUUUGCCAUUCUACUUGAAGUUUCCCUUUCUUUCCCUUUUCCCUUUUCAAGAAACUAGUGGUCUUGUCAAUCAUCAACACUUGAUGCUCUUUCUUGAUUUCUACCUUUGUCGAUUUCAACAUCACGAAGAGCUCGGGAAUUGUUUUCGUCAUCCCUUGCAUACUAUAGUUCAUCACGAAGUUCUAGUAACUUAGUGAUGGUGACUAGAGAAUUCUGUCAAUCACUAUCUUAUCUGGAAGAUUAACUCCCACUUGAUUCAAGCGAUUGAAGUACCCCGACAAUCUGAGCACAUGCUCACUAGUUGAGCGAUUCUCCUCCAUCUUUUAGCUAUAGAACUUGUUGGAGACUUCAUAUCUCUCAACUCGGGUAUUUGCUUGAAAUAUUAACUUCAAUUCCUGGAACAUCUCAUAUGGUCCAUGACGUUCAAAACAUCUUUGAAGUCCCAAUUCUAAGCUGUUAAGUAUGGUGCACUAAACUAUCAAGUAGUCAUCAUAUUGAGCUAGCCAAACGUUCAUAACGUCUGCAUUUGCUCCUGCAAUAGGGCUGUCACCUAGCGGUGCAUUAAGGACAUAAUUCUUCUGUGCAGCAAUGAGGAUAAACCUCAGAUCACGGAUCCAAUCCGCAUCAUUGCUACUAACAUUUUUCAACACAAUUUUCUCUAGGAACAUAUCAAAAUAAACAUAUGAAAGCAACAACGCAAGCUAUUGAUCUACAACAUAAUUUGCAAAAUACUACCAGGACUAAGUUCAUGAUAAAUUUAAGUUCAAUUAAUCAUAUUACUUAAGAACUCCCACUUAGACAGACAUCUCUCUAGUCAUCUAAGUGAUCACGUGAUCCAAAUCAACUAAACCAUGUCCGAUCAUCACGUGAGAUGGAGUAGUUUUCAAUGGUGAACAUCACUAUGUUGACCAUAUCUACUAUAUGAUUCACACUCGACCUUUCGGUCUCCGUGUUUCGAGGCCAUAUCUGUAUAUGCUAGGCUCGUCAAGUUUAACCUGAGUAUUCCGCGUGUGCAACUGUUUUGCACCCGUUGUAUUUGAACGUAGAGCCUAUCACACCCGAUCAUCACGUGGUGUCUCAGCACGAAGAACUUUUGCAACGGUGCAUACUCAGGGAGAACACUUCUUGAUAAUUAGUGAGAGAUCAUCUUAAAAUGCUACCGUCAAUCAAAGCAAGAUAAGAUGCAUAAAGGAUAAACAUCACAUGGAAUCAAUAUAAGUGAUAUGAUAUGGCCAUCAUCAUCUUGUGCUUGUGAUCUCCAUCUCCGAAGCAUCAUCAUGAUCACCAUCGUCACCGGCGUGACACCUUGAUCUCCAUCGUAGCAUCGUUGUCGUUUACGCCAUCUAUUGCUUCUACGACUAUCGCUACCUCUUAGUGAUAAAGUAAAGCAAUUACAGGGCGUUUGCAUUUCAUACAAUAAAACGACAACCGUAUGGCUCCUGCCAGUUGCCGAUAACUUCGGUUGCAAAACAUGAUCAUCUCAUACAAAUAAAUAUAGCAUCACGUCUUGACCAUAUCACAUCACAACAUGCCCUGCAAAAACAAGUUAGACGUCCUUUACUUUGUUGUUGCAAAUUUUACGUGGCUGCUACGAGCUUAGCAAGAACCGUUCUUACCUACGCAUAAAAACCACAACGAUAGUUCGUCAAGUUAGUGAUGUUUUAACCUUCGCAAGGACCGGGCGUAGCCACACUCGGUUCAACUAAAGUUGGAGAAACAGACACCCGCUAGUCACCUGUGUGCAAAGCACGGCGGUAAAACCAGUCUCGCGUAAGCGUACGCGUAAUGUCGGUCCGGGCCGCUUCAUCCAACAAUACUGCUGAACCAAAGUAUGACAUGCUGGUAAGCAGUAUGACUUGUAUCGCCCACAACUCACUUGUGUUCUACUCGUGCAUAUAACAUCAACGCAUAAAACCUGGCUCUGAUACCACUGUUGGGGAACGUAGUGAUUUCAAAAAAUUUCCUACGCACACGCAAGAUCAUGGUGAUGGUAUAGCAACGAGAGGGGAGAGUGUUGUCCAUGUACCCUCGUAGACCGUAAGCGGAAGUGUUAUGACAACGCGGUUGAUGUAGUCGUACGUCUUCACGAUCCGACCGAUCCAAGCACCGAACGUACGGCACCUCCGUGUUCAGCACAUGUUCAGCUCGAUGACGUUCCCCGGGCUCCAAUCCAGCAAAGCGUCGGGGAUGAGUUCCGUCAGCACGACGGCGUGGUGACGAUGAUGAUGUUCUACUGGCGCAGGGCUUCGCCUAAACUCCGCGACGAUAUGACCGAGGUGGAAUAUGAUGGAGGGGGGCACCGCACACGGCUAACGAACGAUCCGUAGAUCAACUUGUGUGUCAUGGGGUGCCCCCUGCCCCCAUAUAUAAAGGAGCAAGGAGGAGGGGGCGGCCGGCCAAGGGAGGGCGCGCCAGGGAGGAAGUCCUACUCCCACCGGGAGUAGGACUCCCUCCUUUCCUAGUCCAACUAGGAGAGGGGAAGGAAGGGAAGGAGAAUGAGAAGGAAGGAGAGGGAGGAAAAGGAGGAAAGGGGGCCCGGCCCCCUAGUCCAAUUCGGUUUGGGCUAGGGGGCCACACGCCCUGCCUCCUCUCUUCCACCACUUGGCCCAUGAGGCCCAUUGCUUCUUCCUCGUAUUCCCGUAACUCCCUGGUACCCCCGGAAAUACCCGAAUCACUCGGAACCUUUCCGAACUCCGAAUAUAGUCGUCCAAUAUAUCGAUCUUUACGUCUCGACCAUUUUGAGACUCCUCGUCAUGUCCCCGAUCUCAUCCGGGACUCUGAACUCCUCCGGUACAUCAAAACUCAUAAACUCAUAAUAUAACUGUCAUCGAAACCUUAAGCGUGCGGACCCUACGGGUUCAAGAACUAUGUAGACAUGACCUACAACUAUUCUUGGUCAAUAACCAAUAGCGGAACCUGGAUGCUCAUAUUGGCUCCUACAUAUUCUACGAAGAUCUUUAUCGGUCAAACCGCAUAACAACAUACGCUGUUCCCUUUGUCAUCGGUAUGUUGCUUGCCCGAGAUUCGAUCGUCAGUAUCCAAUACCUAGUUCAAUCUCGUUACCGGCAAGUCUCUUUACUCGUUACAUAAUGCAUCAUUCUUUAACUAACUCAUUAGUUACAUUGCUUGCAAGGCUUAUAGUGAUGUGCAUUACCGAGAGGGCCCAGAGAUACCUCUCCGACAAUCGGAGUGACAAAACCUAAUCUCGAAAUACGCCAACCCAACAUGUACCAUUGGAGACACCUGUAGUACUCCUUUAUAAUCACCCAGUUACGUUGUGACGUUUGGUAGCACCCAAAGUGUUCCUCCGGUAAACGGGAGUUGCAUAAUCUCAUAGUUACAGGAACAUGUAUAAGUCAUGAAGAAAGCAAUAGCAACAUACUAAACGAUCAAGUUCUAAGCUAACGGAAUGGGUCAAGUCAAUCACAUCAUUCUUCUAAUGACGUGAUCCCAUUAAUCAAAUGACAACACAUGUCUAUGGUUAGGAAACAUAACCAUCUUUGAUUAAUGAGCUAGUCAAGUAGAGGCAUACUAGUGACACUAUGUUUGUCUAUGUAUUCACACAUGUAUUAUCUUUCCGGUUAAUACAAUUCUAGCAUGAAUAAUAAACAUUUAUCAUGAAAUAAGGAAAUAAAUAAUAAUUUUAUUAUUGCCUCUAGGGCAUAUUUCCUUCAGGAAGGGUGAGAGUGCGUAUAAUCCAUGGACUCAACAUUAGUCAUAAAGAACUCAUGUACUUAUUGCAAAAAUCUACAUGCCAUUGAAAACAAAGUAGUAUGUGCAUGCUCCUAGGGGGAUAGAUUGGUAGGAAAAGACCAUCGCUCGUCCCCGACCACCACUCAGAAGGAAGACAAUCAAUAAAUAAAAGUGUGCUCCAACUUCAUCACAAAGCGGUUCACCAUAUGUGCAUGCUUCUGGAAUCACAACCCUCAACACAAGUAUUUCUACUAAUCCACAAUCACCCACUAGCAUGACUCUAAUAUCACCACCUUUAUAUCGCAAAACUAUUGCUAAGAAUCAAACAUAUCAUAUUCAGCGAUCUACAAGUUUAUGUAGGAUUUUAUGGCUAACCAUGUGAAUGACCAAUUCAUGUCAUCUCUCUCAAUAGAUAUAAGUGAAGCUGGAGAGUUUAAUUCUUUCAACCAAAGAUAUGCCCACGCUCUAACAAAUAGAAGUGAAGCAAAAGAGCAUUCUACAAAUGGCGGUUUUCUAUGUGAAGAUAAACAGGCAAUCCAAACUUCCAAUGAUAUAAGUGAAGCACAUGAAGCAUUCUAUAAAGCCAUACUCAAAAGAUUUAAGUGAGGUGCAAUGAGCAUUCUAUAAAUCAACCAAGGGCUAUCUCAUACCAGCAUGGUGCAUAAAAAAUGCAAACUAAAUGCAAAAGACGCUCCAAGACUUGCGCAUAUCGCAUGAACGAAACAAAUACGAAAACAUAUUAAUACUUGUUGAAGAAAGAGGGGAUGCCUUCCAAGGCAUCCCCAAGCUUAGAAGCUUGAGUCUCCUUGAAUAUUUACUUGGGGUGCCUUGGUCAUCCCCUAGCCUGAGCUCUUAUCUCUCUUCCUUUUCCUCAUAUCGAGACCUCCUCGAUCAAACACUUCAUCCACACAAAACUUCAAUAGGAAACUCGGUAAGAUCCGUUACUAUAAUAAAGCAAAUCACUACUCUAAGUAUUGUAGCAAAGAAAUUCUGAUUUUUUUUCAUUGUGUAUACUGUAAUAUAACUUUUCCAUGGCUUAAUCCACUGAUAUAAAUUGAUAGUUUCAUCAAAACAAGCAAACUAUGCAUCAAAACAUAAUCUGUCAAAAACAGAACAGUCUGUAGCAAUCUGAACAUCCACCAUACUUCCGGUACCCCAACAAUUCUACCAAAAUUAGGAAAAUAAAAAAAAUUGUACAGCAAGACAUUGCAAAAAGAAUCAUAACCGUUUGACAUUCCAGUAAAAAAUGUAAAAUCUCGCACAACAGCCAAAGUUUCUGUCCUACACCGUACAAACCAACAAGCAUUGUAAACAUCCUAAAGGCAAACCUUAGCACAUUAUUUUUAUAAUACAAUGGAAUUGUACAAGGGGAUAAUUAUUUUUGAUGAAAAAUUUCUGUAAUUAAGAUUCACAGAGUUUCCGUGAGCAUGAACAAAGUUCAAGGAGCUCUCCCACUUCAACAAUGCUUGUCUUUCUCACUUUCACUUUCAUUUUUGAAAAGUUUUGGGUUCCCCUCUUUAUUUUUUUGUUUUGAGACUAUAUGAAAGCACUCAACAUAAAUAAAUGACUCUCUAAAACUUCCGGGUUGUCUCCCUGGCACCGCUUUCUUUAAAGCCAUUAAGCUAGGCAUAUAGUGCUCAAGUAAUGGAUCCACCUGGAUCCCAAGGUAUAUCAAAGCCAAUUUUAAUUAACAAUGAUUUGUAAUUUAGUAGUGAGCACAAAGUAACAUAUAUCAUGCAACAAAGAAGUCUAACUCUCUUUCUAUGCAUCAUCAUGUCAUAAGAGAGCAAUUCAUGCACACAUAGUAAAGGCCAAUGCAUAGUAUAAGCAGUUUCUUGCAAUUUUAUCGUAUUGGAAACAUAGAGAGGUGGAGAUAUAGUUCCUAUCUCAUAAUAAUUGCAAGUAGGAGCAGCAAACGCAUGUAUAUUAUAUCUAUCAAAAUCAUCAUGUGUGGUAGUAAAAGGCAACCCAUCAAUAUAAUCCAUAGUAAGCACAAACUUCUCCGAUAUAGUGUAGUUGGGAGAUUCCAAAGAGAUAAUAGGACUAUCGUGCGUGGGUGCAAUAGCAACAAUUUCAUGUUUAACAUAAGGAACUAUAGCAAGUUCAUCUCCAUAAGCAUAAUUCAUAUUGGCAUCUUGGCCACAAGUAUAGCAAGCAUCAUCAAAAAAGGAUAUUUCAAGAGAAUCAACGGGAUCAUAACAAUCAUCAUAGCAAUCAUCCUUCGGUAAGCACGAAGGGGAAUUAAACAAUGUAUGAGUUGAAGAGCUACUCUCAUUAGAAGGUGGGCAUGGGUAGCUAAUCCGCUCUUCCUCCUUUUGUUCUUCACUCUCCUCAUCAUCUUUUUCAUCCAAUGAGCUCACAGUUUCAUCAAUUUCUUCUUCCAUAGCUUCCUGCAAAAUAUUAGUCUCUUCUUGGACAGCGGAGACUUCCUCAAUAUAUGGUCUAACAUAGGCAUUAGAAGCAUAAUUAUCAUAACAAUAUUCAAGUAUGGAAAAAUUUCAUAAGCACCCUUAAAAGCAACAAAUUCUUCAAUUUGUUGAACAUCAUAGUAAUUAUAAACACCCUUAACAUACGAAGAUACGAUCCCAUUAUCAAUAAACUCACAUUGGUAGGGACGGUGUUUCUUAGGGUUUUCAGAAAAACAAUUAACAUCAUAUAUUUCACAUAAAUUCCAAGCAUAGCAUUGCAAACGAUGAAUUUGAUCCAGUAAAAGUUUCCCUUUUUCAGAUAUCCGGUGUCGCACAUAACAAGCAUGCUCAUCUAAAGAUUUGCCCUCAACUAAGCAAGUUGGGGUUUCAGCACGAGCACAAAGGGAUCGAAGAUGAUCCAAGUAAAAAGCUUCAGGAGUGUGAUAGAUUUUGAGUGGUUUUUCAAACAUUGGUUCAGUAGGUACAACUAAUUUUUUUGGUAUUUUGCGUUUCCUACCCAUAACUAAAGAUAGAAAACAACUAAGAACAUCAAAUAAAAAUUACUUAGUGAUAAAGCAAACAGGCACACACGAGAAUAUUCACCCCACGCUAUGACUCCCCGGCAACGACGCCAGAAAAAGGUCUUGAUAACCCACAAGUAUAUGGGAUAAUUGUAGCCUCUUUUGAUAAGUAAGACUGUCGAACCCAACGAGGAACUAAAGGUAGAACAAAUAUUCUCUCAAGUCCUAUCUGCCACCGAUACGACUCUACGCACGCUUAGUGUUCGCUUUACCUAGAAAAAGUAUGAAACUAGAAGUACUUUGUAGGUGUUGUUGGAUAAGUUUGCAAGAUAAUAAAGAACACGUAAAUAUAAACUAGGGGCUGUUUAGAUAAACAAGCAAUAAAGUAAAUAUAGCGAGUGUGGAAAAGUGGUGGUAGGAGUUGUGAAAUUGUCCCUAAGCAACUGACUACUUUACUAGACCGAUAAUCACUAUAGCAAUUCUAUUUGAGGGAGAGGCUUAAGCUAACAUACUUUCUCUUCUUGGAUUAUAUGCACUUAUGAUUGGAACUCUAGCAAGCAUCCGCAACUACUAAAGAUCAUUAAGGUAAAACCCAACCAUAGCAUUAAAGUAUCAAGUCCCCUUUAUCCCAUACGCAAACAACCUACUUACUCGGGUCUGUGAUUCCGUCACUCACGCCACCCACCAUAAGCAAAUCAUAAACAUAUUGCAAACCCUACAGCGGGAAUCCCUCAUGCUUGCGCGACAUGGAGGGCACCAUAGGACAGCACCAAUAAUAAGACAUGCAACUCAAACCAAUCAUAGCAAUUCAUCAAUCACCGAUAGGACAACAAAAAUCUACUCAGACAUCAUUGGAUGGCAACACAUCAUUGGAUAAUAAUAUGAAGCAUAAAGCACCAUGUUCAAGUAGAGGGUAUAGCGGGUUGCAGGAGAGUGGACCGCUGAAUAUAGAUGGGGGAAGGUGAUGGAGAUGUUGGUGAAGAUGGCGGAGGUGUUGGUGAAGAUCACGGUGAUGAUGAUGGUCCCCGGCGGCGUUCCGGCACCACCGGAAGCAAGGGGGAGAGAGCCCCCCUUCUUCUUCUUCUUCCUUGACCUUCUCCCUAGAUGGGAGAAGGGUUUCCCCUCUGGUCCUUGGCUCCCAUGGCGUGGAAGGGGCGAGAGACCCUCCAAGAUUGGAUUUGUCUCUCUGUCUCUCUCUGUUUAUGCGUUCUCAGAUCCUUCCUUUUACCAUUUCUUUUAUAUCCGGAGAUCUGUAACUCCGAUUGGGGUGAACGCCCUGAUUUUUCUCAUAAAAUUGGCUUUCUUGCGACAAAAGAAGAGCGUCAACCGCCUUACGAGGGGCCCACGAGGGUCUAGGGCGCGACUGCCCCCCUGGGGCGCGUCCCUGUCUCGCGUUGAUUUUACUUCCCAAAAAUCACAAAUAUUCCAAGAUAAUUCUCCGUCCGUUUUUAUCCCGUUUGGACUCCGUUUGAUAUUGGGUUUCUGCGAAACAUAAAACAUGCAACAAACAGGAACUGGCACUGGGCACUGGAUCAAUAUGUUAGUCCCAAAAAUAAUAUAAAAAGUUGCCAAAAGUAUAUGAAAGUUUAAUAAUAUUGGCAUGGAACAAUCAAAAAUUAUAGAUACGACAGAGACGUAUCAUGCCCCCCGCUCAAGGUGUCUAGCGAUAUCGUCGCUAAUCAUCCGGGGAUCUUGACCGGUACCAAUCCUGGAGAUUACGAUGAUGCACAUUUUGAUAUAAUGGAGGUGGAUGAAUUCAAAUACGAGUACGGGAAGCCUCUCGUCAAAGAUGGAACUACUCUAACAAUGAUGAUGCAAAGAUUCCAUGAUUGGUACAUGGAAACCUGCAGAAAGCAGUCAGCUGGGAAGAAAAUUGAUACUCUGACGCUGAAAGUUAAAGAGGAUCAACACGACCUUGUUGGAAUUGAGGAGUUGUCUGUUCCAUUUGAGGAGUUCUUCCAGUUUUUUAAUCUAAAGGCCCUCGAUAAAUUAAUGGUCACUUGCUACUGUCUGUAAGUACUACUUCUGUCAUUAACUCUCUCUAUAUAGCUCAGCUCUUUCAUUGCAUGUAUAUAUAAUUAUUCUCAAUAUAUUAUGCAAAUUGAAGAUCGUCGAAUGCAGAAAAGCUGAAAUGUAUGAUAUUGGGUUCAUUAACACAAAUCUCAUAGAUGAAUUUACGGUUACAUUUCAUGCCAAAGAAACCGAGGACAACUUGCUAUGAUCGUUGGUAAUAAAUCAAAACAAAGAUACAAUAUUAUUUCCUUACAACUUAAAGUGAGUGUUAAUGUCUUGUGCAUUUCCCUUAAUUAUUACUCGAGGUUAUAGUAAUUAAUGUAAUUGAUGAGUUAUGCAUGUGUGCGCAAGUUCCACUAUAUUCUCCUAGAGAUUAAGCUUGAGCUAGGACUAGUAGACGUCUUAGACUCGAGACUAAAAGAUCCCAAGGACUAUGCGGACAUGUCUAAAAUGCUCGAGAAGUAAGUUGAAUCGAUCAUUAUCGUACCAUAUCGGCAACUUUGUUCAUUUCAUGAAAUCAAGUAAUUGUUUUCUUUGUCUCGCAGGAUUUGGAAAGUAUUCACCGCACAAGUUUCGGGACUGCCGCGGGAUCUGCGAUGGAAAUACCCGAAAGAAAGUACUACUAGCUAGCUAGCUAGCUAGUUCCGUGCAUCUCCCGUUGAUUCUAGCUACUUUCAUCAAUGCCAUUUAUAAUGCUUAUCAGUUUGAUUGACCUCUAUUUCUCGUAAAGUGCUUGUGGCAGGAAGUCAGGAAUAAUUACUGCGGAUACUAUGUCUGUGAGUUCAUCUACAACGCGACGGCCAAGAAUAGGCGGGGCUACUCUAAAAGACAAUAUGAAGUGCGUAAGCAAAAAUAUUCACAAGUUUAUUUUAUUACCAUCAUUUUGUUGAGUUUCAUUCAUAUAUAUGUAUUGACCCCUGAGGGAGUUCCGGACUAGGGGGUGUCCGGAUAGCCGAACUAUCGUGAUCGGCCGGACUCCAAGACUAUGAAGAUACAAGAUUGAAGACUUCGUCCCGUGUCCGGAUGGGACUUUCCUUGGCGUGGAAGGCAAGCUUGGCGAUACGGAUGUGUAGAUCUCCUAUCAUUGUAACCGACUUUGUGUAACCCUAGCCCUCUCCGGUGUCUAUAUAAACCGGAUGGCUUUAGUCCAUAGGACGAACAAUAAUCAUACCAUAGGCUAGCUUCUAGGGUUUAGCCUCCUUGAUCUCGUGGUAGAUCCACUCUUGUAACACACAUCAUCAAUAUUAAUCAAGCAGGACGUAGGGUUUUACCUCCAUCAAGAGGGCCCGAACCUGGGUAAAACAUCGUGUCCCUUGUCUCCUGUUACCAUCCGCCUAGACGCACAGUUCGGGACCCCCUACCCAAGAUCUGCCGGUUUUGACACCGACAUUGGUGCUUUCAUUGAGAGUUCCUCUAUGUCGUCACCGAUAGGCUCGAUGGCUUCUUCGACCAUCAUCAACGAUGCAGUCCAGGGUGAGACCUUUCUCCCUGGACAGAUCUUCGUAUUCGGCGGCUUUGCACUGCGGGCCAAUUCGCUUGGCCGUCUGGAGCAGAUCGAAAGCUACGCCCCUGGCCGUCAGGUCAGAUUUGGAAGUUUGAACUUCACGGCUGACAUCCGCGGGGACAUGAUCCUCGAUGGAUUCGAGCCACAGCCGAGCGCGCCGCACUGUCACGGCGAGCAUGAUUUAGCUCUGCAGCCGGACAGUACCCUGGAGGCCGCACUCGAACCCGCUCCGAUCUUCAAUUCGGAGCCGGCUGCGCAGAUCGAGGACGGAUGGCUAGACACCGCCUCGGGGGCUGCAACCUCUACGGCGAUAGAGCCGAACACUGACCUUGUCCCUCAUAAAGCUCGUGACUCCGAGGUGCCGGACUCCUUGCCGGACUCCGAACCUCCCGCGCCCCCUCCGAUCGAAUCCGAUUGGGCGCCGAUCAUGGAGUUCACCGCAGCGGACAUCUUUCAACACUCACCUUUCAGCGACAUCUUGAGCUCGCUAAAGUAUCUCUCAUUAUCAGGAGAGCCCUGGCCGGACUGCGGUCAGGACGGUUGGCAUGCGGACGAUGAAGAAAUUCAAAGACCACCCACCACCCACAUGGUAGCCGCUGUCGACGAUCUAACCGACAUGCUAGACUACGACUCCGAAGACAUCGAAAGUAUGGACGACGAUGCCGGAGACGACCAAGAACCAGCGCCUACUGGGCACUGGAAAGCCACCUCAUCAUAUGAAAUAUACAUGGUGGAUAUCCCAAAAGAUGGGAAUGGCAAAGGAACAGCCGAGGAUGACCCCUCCAAGAAGCAGCCCAAGCGCCGGCGUCAGCGGCGCCGCUCUAAAUCCCGCCACAGCAAGAAUGAAGACUCCGGCACCGGAGAUAAUAAUACACCGGACAGUGCCGAAGACAACCCACUCCAGCAAGAUGCAGCGCAGGAGGACGGAGACGCUAGCCCUUAUGAGAGAGCGGCAGAAGAAGAGGUAGAGGAUUAUAUGCCUCCCUCCGGAGACGAGGCAAGCCUCGACGACGACGAAUUCGUCGUGCCUGAGGAUCCCGUCGAACAAGAGCGUUUUAAACGCAGGCUUAUGGCCACGGCGAACAACCUCAAGAAAAAGCAGCAACAGCUUAGAGCUGAUCAAGAUCUGCUAGCCGACAGAUGGACUGAAGUCCUCGCGGCCGAAGAGCAUGAGCUCGAACGCCCCUCCAAAAGCUACCAUAAACGCAAGCUGCUCCCCCGAUUAGAGGAGGAAGCGUAUGAACCCGCAUCACCAGGAGACAAUACGGCUGACCGACCACCCCGUGGUCGCGAUAGAGAGGCCUCUAGGCCCUUCACUAGACCCGUACCCCGGCAUCGCUUGAAAAGCACAAGGCCACAGGGGAACGCUCCGGACUUGCAAGAUAUAUUGGAGGAUAAGGCAAGACAAUCAAGAUCGAUCUAUGGAUCGCGUGGGCGCCCCACAGUACGUGACGACAACCGUCGCGUCGUGAUAUCGCCCAGUACAGAGGCGCCGCACACCCACUAUGCUUCACAGAUGAAGUAAUGGAUCAUCAAAUCCCCGAAGGGUUUAAACCCGUGAAUAUUGAAUCUUACGAUGGCACAACAGACCCCGCGGUUUGGAUCGAAGACUAUCUCCUUCACAUCCACAUGGCCCGUGGUGAGGAUCUUCACGCCAUCAAAUAUCUCCCCCUCAAGCUUAAAGGACCAGCCCGGCAUUGGCUUAACAGCUUGCCAGCAGAGUCAAUUGGGAGUUGGGAAGACCUGGAAGCCGCAUUCCUCGAUAACUUCCAAGGCACUUAUGUGCGACCACCAGACGCUAAUGACCUAAGCCACAUAAUUCAGCAGCCAGACGAAUCGGCCAGACAAUUCUGGACAUGGUUCUUAACCAAGAAAAACCAAAUCGUCGACUGUCCGGAUGCGGAGGCCCUCGCGCCCUUCAAGCAUAAUAUCCGCGACGAGUGGCUUGCCAGGCACCUGGGACAGGAAAAGCCAAAAUCCAUGGCAGCCCUCACAUCACUCAUGACCCGCUUCUGCGCGGGUGAGGACAGCUGGCUAGCACGCAGCAACAACCUCAGCAAAAAUUCUGGCAGUCCGGAUAUCAAGGACCGUAAUGGCAGGUCGCGUUGUAACAAAAACAAACGCUGCAUUAACGGUGACAAUAGUGAGGAUACGGCAGUCAAUGCCGGAUUCAGAGGCUCCAAACCCAGUCAGCGAAAAAAGCCAUUCAGAAGAACUACUCCGGGUCUGUCCAAUUUGGACCGAAUACUCGACCGCUUGUGCCAGAUACACGGCACCCCCGAAAAGCCAGCUAACCACACCAACAGGGACUGUUGGGUAUUCAAGCAGGCAAGCAAGUUAAUUGCCGAAAAUAAUGACAAGGGGAUGCACAGCAACGACAAGGAGGAGACCCGACCGCCGAACAAUAGAGGACAGAAGGGUUUCCCUCCACAGGUGCGGAUGGUGAACAUUAUAUACGCAACGCACAUACCCAAACGGGAGCGGAAGCAUGCACUCAGGGAUGUAUACGCGAUGGAGCCAGUUGCCCCAAAGUUCAAUCCAUGGUCCUCCUGCCCGAUCACUUUUGACCGAAGGGACCACCCCACCAGCAUCUGCCACGGCGGAUUCGCCGCAUUGGUCUUAGACCCAAUCGUCGAUGGAUUUCACCUCACCAGAGUCCUGAUGGACGGCGGCAGCAGCCUGAACCUGCUUUAUCAGGAUACAGUGCGCAAAAUGGGCAUAGACCCCUCAAGGAUUAAACCUACCAAGACAACCUUUAAAGGCGUCAUACCAGGUGUAGAAGCCAAUUGUACAGGCUCAAUUACACUGGAAGUGGUCUUCGGAUCCCCAGAUAACUUCUGAAGCGAGGAGUUAAUCUUCGACAUAGUCCCGUUCCACAGCGGCUAUCAUGCCCUGCUCGGACAUACUGCGUUUGCAAAGUUCAACGUGGUGCCGCACUACGCAUACCUCAAGCUCAAGAUGCCAGGCCCUCGAGGAGUCAUCACGGUCAACGAAAACACUGAACAUUAUCUCCGAACAGAGGAACAUAUAGCGGCUCUCGCGGCAGAAGUACAAUGCAGCCUCUUAAGGCAAUUCUCGAGUCCGGCCGUUAAGCGGCCGGACACAGCUAAGCGCGCCCGGAGUAACCUACAACAAGACCAUCUGGCAUGUUCCGAGCACGCAUAGCAGUGCGGCCCCAACCCCAGCCCCUGUAAAACGUCAAAACAGGUCCUUUGCGUACACCAUUACGCUUUGGAGAUACCAUGGGCAUGGGGAGAGGGGCACGACCAUGAUAGGCCCAGAAUGCGGCUCAACAACACCAGGGGCUCUCAAGUGUGUCGUUCUUUUUUCUCUUUUCUAUUUAUUUUUUACCCACAGGACUCCGUUCGUCAGAGGCCCUGUUCGGCAGCAGACCCGCCGAACUCACGAUGCAACAGACAAGGAAGGAUAAAGGCUACAACGAAUAUCCAGGUGGUCUCCAUUACGAGCAUUAAAUCUGUUUUACGCACCAUUCGGCAGCCUACCCCUGGAGGGGGACAUGUUUAACAGUCCCAUCCCUUGCUUAUUGCACCAUUUGUAUCAUUCUUCACUUACAGUAGUCUUUCUUGAAUAAACAAUGCAGCACCUUUUUGCUUAUAAUUGCAUUUCUUUUUGUACAUAUGUUCAUUUACGACAUGUUGCAUCCGUACACUUUGGUACGGCUAAAAUACACCAGGGGCUUAUGUUUCCCGCAUCAUGGUGUGAUAAGUCCGAACACUUUCACAAGUGCGGCACCCCGAACUUAUAGCACUAUAUGCAUCGACUCUGAAUCAUGUCUUGGGUCAAUACUUGGGUUUGCCUGGCUCCCAUGUUUUGGUACCUUACGUUCCGUUGUAUCGGCUAAGGUAGCACUGGGAGAACCACUGCGAUUGCGCCCCAGUUGAGCUGGGUUAACGCCUCAGUGGAGAAAGCUAAAACUGGCCGUCAUGAUGAGGCGAGAGCCGGUCGCUGUUCGAGAGGUUUUUUGUGAGUCCUUAAAGACUUACGCCGCUUAGAGCGAGGAGCCGGAUCUUGUCCGGCCCAUGCGUGGAUAGCGCCCCAAAUUUGGCCUUCCGAAGACUAGGGGCUUCGCCGAAAUUUAAAAUUAUAGAAUUCUAUGGCUAAGUGAGAGUGUUCAAGCAUUAUAAGUUCAGUUUCCUUGUUCGCUGUGUUGAGCGCCUCCCUAGAUGGACCCAAAAAUGGGAACAAGAGUGCUCAAGCUUAUCCCGAACACCCCAGCACUUGUGGCAUGGGGGCUGAAGCCGACGACUUGCCAUCUCUCAUAUUUGAUAAACAGCCGCACAGAAGGUAAUAUUUUAAAUUAACAAGCGUUGCUUAGCGCAUAUGAACUAAGUUUUCAGCGCGCAGGAUAACAAAAUGCGAGUCUACUCAAAUAUUACAUCUUUGGAGCACUCACCCGCAAUAGUGCGGGCUCCCUUCAGCACACUCUUAUAAUACAUCUCAGGCGUGCGAUGCUCCUUGCCCUCUGGUGGCGGGUCCGUCACGAGCUUCUGGGCAUCCAUCUUGCCCCAGUGCACCUUUGCGUGGGCAAGGGCCCGACGGGCACCCUCAAUGCAAGCGGAGUGCUUGAUGACUUCGACCCACGGGCACGUAUCCACCAGCCGCCGCACCAGGCCGAAGUAGCUCCCAGGCAUGGCCUCCUUAGGCCACAGCCGAACUAUGAGGCCCUUCAUGGCCUGUUCGGCCGCCUUGUGGAGCUCGACCAGCUGCUUCAGCUGGUCACUAAGGGGCACCGGAUGUCCGGCCUCAGCAUACUGAGACCAGAAGACCUUCUCCGUCGAGCUCCCCUCCUCGGCCUGGUAGAACGCAGCAGCAUCGGACACGCUGCGAGGAAGAUCUACGAACGCUCCUGGAGAGCUCCGAAUUUGGGUAAGCAACAGGUAAUUAACACUCACAUGCUUACUUUGCAUGAAAAAUGCCUUACCCGCUGCUAUUUUCUUCACCGCCUUGAUCUCCUGGAGGGCCUUGUAGGCUUCGGCCUUAGCGGCUUUGGCACUCUCAAGAGCCGUUGCAAACUCAGACUCUCGAGUCUUCGAGUCACGCUCCAGGCUCUCAUGUUUUUUCACGAGAUCCUGGAGCUCUUGCUGUACCUCCGUCACCCACGGCUCAUGCUUCUCUCGCUCGGUGCGCUCUGCGGCCGCAUUGCGUUCGGCCGCGGCCACCGCCUCUUUCAGGGUCGCCACCUCGUUAGUGGCCCCUGCAAUAUCCACGUUAUCCUUGUCAUUUUUCUUGCAACCAAAUCCUUUUCUGUAAGGUACAAUUUUAAUAAGGUAUUACUCACCUUCUUUUUCCUCGAGCUGCUUCUUGGCACGGCCGAGCUCGUUCUCGGACCGCUCGAGGCUUUCCUUCAAAGUAUUGACCUCGCAGUCAGUGCGGCGGAGGUCAGCAGCACAGCCUGCAAUCCCAUAUUGACAUAUUUUUUAUGACUCCUGCGUAUAUCUUCUUAAGACCCUCAGUCCGGCUUUUCUUUCUGAACACCGAACCGAGCAUCAGGGGCUACUGUCUAUGCGGUACCUUUUUAUAUAUAUUGAAAUUCUUACCUCAAAGCCUGUUAGAAGGCUGCUGCAGGCUUCGGUCAGCCCGCUCAUGGCGAGCUGAACCUUCUGAAUCACCGCACUCAUAACAGUGCGGUGUUCCUCUUCAAUGGAGGCGCCAUUGAGCGCCUCCAGCAAAUUAUCCGGCGCCUCCGGUUGGACGGAGGCAGUCGACGUCACGGUCUUGCCCUUCUUACGAAGGGGUCACCCGCCGGACUCUGGAGCCACUAUGGUCUCUGGGGCUGAGUCCGGUGCAAAGUUCGGGAGGUUGUCCCACGACACCUCCGGGACCUCCUCCUCCUGGUGGGUCCCUUCCUGGGAUCCCGCCUCGGCAUCGUCCGCAUCAUGGGGGGUGGAGGCAGUCGGAAGAGAAUCCAUAUCCGACGCACCUAAGGACCCGCUCGACGAAGCAGGAAGAUCAUCCUUGGGCGGACUGCAGGGUUGUAUGGGGCAUUAGAAAGACAUUAUGUGGCGAAAAGGAAAAACCUUGAAUUUAUACGGGAGUCCGGAUACUUACGAUCUCGCCAGGGGCUUGGCCCUUGGAGGCCAGUCCUCGUCGUCGUCACUGGCGUUGGCAGAGCAGUCCGGGGGAAGAGUUUUUCCCUUCUUGGACCCUUCGGCCUCCCUUGUUGGGGAGGCCUUCCUUUUCUUCCCUCCCCCCGCUGGGGGAGAGGCUUUCUUCUUCUCCUCCUCGCCUUGGUGGGAGGAGUCGGCCUCGGAUUCAUCAUCUGAUAGCACCUGAAAACGGGAACUCUUCCGAGUCCCCGUGGCCUUCUUCUUGGCCUUCUUCUCCAGCACCACUUGGGGUGCCGGAGCCAGCAGCCCCGUUAGGCGGGCGUCCGCUGGGUCAUCUGGCAGUGGUGCCGGACAGAUAGUCCGUUCGGCCUUCGCCAGCCAGUCCUGUCAAAGGUAAAGGGAGUUUAGAUCCCCCAUAGAGUCAAACUAUGGAAAACAAGUGACAAAAUCACUCACCUCGUCAGCUGGACGCUGCGAGCGGAAUCCGCGAUCUUCGGUAGCGGAUGCGGGAGCCUCGACGCCCUUGAACAGCACCUUCCAGACAUCUUCGUACGUAGUGUCGAAGAGCCCGUUCAGGGUCUGGUGCUCCGCCGGAUCGAACUCCCACAUGUUGAAACCCCGUCGUUGGCACGGGAGAAUCCGGUGGAUGAGCAUGACCUGGACUACGUUGACAAGCUUGAGCUUCUUGUCCACCAGCUUUUGGAUACAGGCUUGGAGUCCGGUCAGCUCCUCCGAAUCGCCCCAGAUCCGGCCACUCUCUUUCCAGGAGGUGAGCCGUGUAGGGAUGCCGGAUUUGAAUUCGGGGGCCGCUGCCCAAUCAGGGUCACGUGGCUCGGUGAUGUAGAACCACCCCGAUUGCCACCCCUUAAUGGUUUCCAUGAAAGUGCCCUCCAGCCACGUAACGUGGGACAUCCUGCCCACCAUGGCGCCUCCGCACUCCGCUUGGCUGCCCUUCACAACCUUCGGCUUGACACUGAAGGUCUUAAGCCACAAGCCGAAGUGGGGUUGGAUGCAGAGGAACGCCUCGCACACGACGAUAAACACCGAGAUAUUGAGGAUGAAAUUCGGGGCCAGAUAAUGAAAAUCUAGGCCGUAGUAGAACAUGAGCCCCCGGACAAAGGGAUGAAGUGGGAAGCCCAGUCCGCCGGGGAAAUGGGGAAGAAAUACUACCCUCUCAUGGGGCCUGGCGGUGGGGAUGAGCUCUCCCUCGUCGGGGAGCCGGUGCGCGAUGUUGCUGGACAAAUAUCCGGCGUUGCGCAGCUUCUGGAUCUGCUCCUUCGUGACGGAGGAGGCCAUCCACUUGCCUCCCGCUCCGGACAUAGUUGGAGAAGGUUGAGGUGAGAAGUGCGGACUUGGGCGCUGGAGCUCGAGUUCGCGGAGAUGGAUAAGCCAAGGAGGAAGAAGGCGCAGGUAAAAGGGUUGGAUCUUUAUCCCCUUAUAUGGGCGGACAAAAAUAUGUGUCCCCACCGGCCUGGUAAAACUCGCUUAUCUCCCAAGCGUCACAAUCAAUGGCGCGGUUGGGUUACCCACAUCCGUAUUGAUGGGAAUCCCGGAAUAAAGGGAACACGAUCUCUGCUUCGACAAGACGUGCCAAGGAAACCGCUUCGCUAAACGCGCUGAGGUGGAACAAUAAAAACAAUCUGAGUAAAGGCUUGGUAGUGGUGUGACAUCACGCCACAAAAUACGUCAGCAGAUUGAACUUGUGUAAUAUUAUUCUCUCUACGGUGGUACGUGGGAUUUAUUUUUGCAGAGCCGGACACUAGCCUGGUGUUCACAAUCUUCUAUAAAUUAUCGGAGGAAGAACCCGCCUUGCAAUGCCGAAGACAACAUGCGCGCCGGACUCGUCGUCAUUGAAGCCUGGUUCAGGGGCUACUGAGGGAGUUCCGGACUAGGGGGUGUCCGGAUAGCCAAACUAUCGUGAUCGGCCGGACUCCAAGACUAUGAAGAUACAAGAUUGAAGACUUCGUCCCGUGUUCGGAUGGGACUUUCCUUGGCGUGGAAGGCAAGCUUGGCGAUACGGAUGUGUAGAUCUCCUACCAUUGUAACCGACUUUGUGUAACCCUAGCCCUCUCCGGUGUCUAUAUAAACCGGAUGGCUUUAGUCCAUAGGACGAACAACAAUCAUACCAUAGGCUAGCUUCUAGGGUUUAGCCUCCUUGAUCUCGUGGUAGAUCCACUCUUGUAACACACAUCAUCAAUAUUAAUCAAGCAGGACGUAGGGUUUUACCUCCAUCAAGAGGGCCCGAACCUGGGUAAAACAUCGUGUCCCUUGUCUCCUGUUACCAUCCGCCUAGACGCACAGUUCGGGACCCCCUACCCGAGAUCCGCAGGUUUUGACACCGACAACCCCCUUAUUCAAAUUAGAUGUGGGAGAUGCGGAAUGAACUCCUACCACAAGAUCGCAUGCGAGCAAUUCAAGAGGAAUUGGCUGGAUUCUUUCUUGACCACGUCAUCAAUAAAGCCGGAGAAUACCACCAUGCAUGUGGAAGUUGAGUUCAUAUGUUAGGGUAUUGUAAGAGAUCUUACACAUUGUAUAUAUAUAUAUAUGUAGCCAGUACCGUCGGUAAGAUAUACGAAAACUUGUUGUUCGACCAAUCUCUCCGAGAAGGAGAGGUUGAUCACUUCUGUAUAUGUUCAUGACGAUCUUCUGUACUUAAUAGUUUCCUUCAUUUGCUUACUAGCUAGCUAGCGUGUCGAGUCCUAUCUAUACGUAGCGUCGACCAAGCACGGAGAUAAGACAUGACNNNNNNNNNNNNNNNNNNNNNNNNNNNNNNNNNNNNNNNNNNNNNNNNNNNNNNNNNNNNNNNNNNNNNNNNNNNNNNNNNNNNNNNNNNNNNNNNNNNNNNNNNNNNNNNNNNNNNNNNNNNNNNNNNNNNNNNNNNNNNNNNNNNNNNNNNNNNNNNNNNNNNNNNNNNNNNNNNNNNNNNNNNNNNNNNNNNNNNNNNNNNNNNNNNNNNNNNNNNNNNNNNNNNNNNNNNNNNNNNNNNAAAAAAUAAAAAACUCAGCCUCUGAAAUGCUGACGCGUGGAAGCCUUUUGGUCCCGGUUGGUGGCACCAACCGGGACAAAAGGCCCCCUUGCCUGGGCAACCGGCAGCAGCCACGUGGAUCCCCAUCUGUCCCGGUUCCUGGGCGAACCGGGACUAAAGGGACAGUGCUUUAGUAACGACCCUUUAGUCCCGGUCCGGUAACCGGGACAAAUGGCCCUCACGAACCGGGACGAAUGGGGGUUUUUCUACGAGUGAUAGUCAUACAUGUGCUGUCGGGGAUGUGUUCCAUCACAAUAAUCACUUUUUGAUCAUAGAAGUGUCCACUUUCAUAAUGAGCUAUCGGGUAUGCAUUGCAGAUCUGGUACCCGUUAACAACACCAAGCAAUGACGAUUUCCAUGUGUUGGACUCUCAUACACCAAGGAGCCAUGUGGCAGCUCUACCUUGUGACAAGUGUCGCAUAUCCAACGUCAUAUAUGCCUAUAAAACAUUGUUAUGUGGCACGACCCAAUAGUGGCCCAUCUAAUUAAAAAGUGUGGCCCAGUAAUAGGCCCACAAUAUUUAGGCAAAAGUUAGUGGGCAGGCUCACUAGAGGUCUGCUUGCAGAUAGCCCAAUUACAACCUCGGUCCAUAUGACCCAUAAGGACCAGCACCAAUUUGGCUCGUCACGGGCCUGUUGGACAUUAGGCAUCAUUGCAGCCCAUGUAGCUUCGACCUGUUAACAGUAUGUUGUGUCUUUGGGCCCAAUUACGGUCCGGUGUGUCUUCCGGCCCGUUAAAGGCCCGUGGUACACUUGGACUCAUUUGCGGCUCGAUGUUUCGUUCGUCCUGUUUAACGGCUCUGGUGUGCCCUUCGGCCUGUUAGCGGCCCGUUGUAGAUUUGGCCCAUUUCCAGCCUGUUAACGACACAUGGUACACUUGGGCCCCUCUGUGAUCUGACCUGACUUUCAGCCUAUUGAAAACAUGCGGUAAAUUUCAGCCCGUUUAUGAUGUGAGUUCUCUUUAGGCCUGUUAAUGGUCCAUGAUAUAACUAGGACAAUUCAGGCCAGCAGUAUUUUUUGGCCUGUUAACGGCUCGUUGUCUCAUUAGCACAAUAACGUCCCAGUCUGUUUUUAGCUUGUUAAGAGCAUGUGGUAUCUUCUGGACCAUUUAGGGGCUGUUUUCUAUCGGUCUAUUAACUGGAGAGGAUCUUUCCAUUUUCUUUUUGUUUUCUUUGUUUUGUAAUAAAAAUAAAUAUUUUUUAAACUACAAGACCCAUUUUGUCUUCUAUUAGGAGCGACAAAAAAUACUAGUGAUUAUAUAUCACUGAUCUAUCCUCUAUUAAGAGCAGGCAAAACUACUAGUGAUUAUAUAUUCCAGAGCUUGAGAGGAUGCACACCCGCAGCGGCCGGAACUAGCCAAUGGCCCUGAAGGCUGCUAGUGAUUAUAUAUCACGCCUUGUAUAUAAGAACAGAUGGAAGCGUUCAUAUAUGAAAUCAUUUUUGAAAUUUUUCGAAACAUUUGUAAUAAUAAUUUACGAAAUUCCAAAAAUAUCUUUUUGAAAAAUAUGACAUGGUAAUAUUUUGCCAAAUACAUUAUUUACAUUUUACAAAACUAUACGAACAUUGUCUAUACAUUUUCAAAAUUUUGUUCAGGUUUUAAUAUUUGCUCCCUUUUUUUAUGAAAAUCUUUAUGAAAUAAAAUAGUGUGGUUCGGUUCAGGACUAGGAGACGUCCCUGAUAUUUGUUAGAAUGACUUAUGUCCUGAUCGACAAAAUAAAAUCUUCCUUUCGCCCGCAAUUUUUUUAUGUUUCAAAUAGUGUUCACUUUCCCAAAAAUGAUUGUUUUUUCAAAAACAAAUGUCCAUCUUUAUAUAAAAAAGCAUUCAGAAUUUUCAGAAGUGUACGCACUUUUGACAAAUCGGAUAAUUCAAAAAUAGUUUGGCCAGCACUGUUUCAAUAUUUGUUUGGCCUUAAAAAUAUUCAAAUCUCGAUGCUGCAGUGUGUGGUUAAAUAGUUCGGGCCUCUUUUUAUAGCUGUAAUAGCCAAUGUUUCUAUUGGCUGGCGGGUGGAGUUUAGCGUAUGUUGGGGCGGCCCAUUCACGACCGCAGUCAACAAUCCAGGAUUUGACCUGCCACGUUACAAGCCCUGUUUGGGAUCGCUCUAAAGGUUUAAAAUAGGCUGGGAUUAGAGAGUUCGAUGUGCUGAUUUCUGGGACUAUAAGAUUUCGUCUACAAGUUUAAGAUUUGUUUGGACUUUUUCCUUAGUCGAACAAUUUCCGGUUUUGGGGGAGAGACCUGCGGACGAGGGAUUGCGUCCAGAUUUUAUCUUUUUUUUUUUCCUCCGGAGAGACUUGCCGAUGUACGAUGACCGGUGGCUAUAGAGACUUUUGAUCUAUUGGAUCCAUUGCCAUCUCUAAUCAUCUCCUCGCCGAUUUCGCUCACCUAUACGUACACGCGAUAUCUCAAAGAAAUCAUCAUGGUCAUGGAGACUAGGAAGAGGAAAGCCGACCAGGCCUUGGCCUGUCGCGGCUCACGUCCCCGCCACGGCAAGAAGGAGCGUCCCGCUUCUCGGCCAGCAGAUUGGAGGGACUGGGCGGCGCUGCCCGGCACCGCCCUGCGUGCGAUCCUAGAGCGGCUUCAAACCGACGUCCUCCGCGGGACGGGGCCGGUGCUGGCGUGCGCGUCGUGGCGGCGGGCGGCCGUCGAGGACCCGCUUCUGUGGCGGCGCAUCGACCUCGCCUCCGACGAGGACGGGGACGAGGACGCUGCGGCGGGGUGGCGGGCGAUGGCGCGCGCCGCCGUGGACCGCAGCGCCGGCCGGUGCGAGUCCUUCCGCGGCCGCGUCAACGGCGACUUCCUCGUCUACCUCGCCGACAAGUACGUACGCCACCGUAAUCCCGAUCAAACUUCCAAUUAGCAAUAGAUCGAUCUACCAACACGCGAUCUAACCGAGGAGCGUGCAUGAUCUCCGCGCAGCGCGCCGUUGCUGAGGAGCCUCCACGUGACGACUGACGAGCAUGCUUGACAUGCGCGGCCGCAAACUUGGCGCGACGGCGAUGGGGAAGCUGACCCUUCUGGAGCAGCUCGUGGUGGCGGGAGGCUACUUCGACCACGCUAUGCUGUGCGCGGUCCUCGACCACUGCCCGCGUCUCCGGCUGCUCGACGCCGGCGGCUGCUACACCUUGGAAGCAACGGGAAAAAGGCUCGUGGCCAGGUGCGAGAGCAGGAUCCGGGACCUCCGGCUGCCGCGCUGGUCGACCGGUGGCGGAUGCUCCUGCUGCAGAGAAAUGGCUCAAGAGUACGCAGACGAACAUGAUGAAUGAUCUCAUCUGUUGCAGCAGACUAUACCCGGCUUUAAGUUUUAGUUUUGCUUCAGGCUCCAUGGACUAUGCAAGCUAGCUAGUUGAUUACUGUAGUUUACAUGCUCUUUGUGUUUUAUAUACAUGUUAUGUUAGUCAUUCUUAUAUUUCUUUACGGAGGGAGUAUGAAGGAUAAGAAAAAGACAUUCUACAUUCGGGCAUCACAAGGUGAACUCCGGCGAGAAAGCCAAGCCGUGUUGGAAAACCUGCCUCCCCCGCUCCUUGUUUUGGUCGUGAUCGUGGAUGUGGUGGUUUUCUGUUGGAGCAUCCGCUCUGGUCCUGGUUGGCUUCAUCCACAUCUCCGGAUGUGGGUGGAUUUGUUGUGGUCAAGUGGUGGUUUGUCGCUUGGUCAAGAGUGCUGUGGAACCCAACUAUAUCUAACAGAUGAUGAAAAACUAUGCACGCAUGGAAGAAGUCAAGAGUGCAGUUUGUGAAAAUGAAUUAUGACACGGCCUUCUCUCAACAGGAUGGAAAGAGGCAUGGGUUUUGUGGCCCGCCUGAUCCCAGGUCAAAACUAGUGCUUGUGUCAAAGUCUUUGAGGCGGUCAGAGAACUAGGUUUUCAUCGAGUUGCAAUUUUUUAGAUAAAAGACAUCAUAGUGUUGGCCGAAACUAGGCAACACAGCGCAUGAGAGUCUUGCUGGGGAUAUCAACUCUACAUGAAUAGCUCACACAAAAGUGAAGACUAGCUACAAAUAAAAGAAGCUAAUAAUCUAGCUAUCUUGGUGCGGUGGUGCGGUGUGUGUGUGGGAAGAGGGGUGCUAUUACGACGCGUAGAUCUCUUAUAAGAGCCCCACGAGAGACUACAUUGCCCUGUGAUUCAGUUUUCCCAGAGUUUUGAAGAUAAUGUUAGCGUGGUGCUUAGGAAGUUUAAUUAUAUAGUAAGCUUUUUCAUAACAUUCCUUAAGGGCCAAUAAGCAGCCACAAAAUAAAUAAAUAAAUAAAUAAGUGAUGCAGACGGACAAGCUAACACAUGAUUGAUAAUAGCAAAGAGAUAUAAUAAGUUUCUAGGGUUGCAAGUGCACUCAAACAUCUCACGAAAAAUCUGACAAGAUGGAUUUAGCUAGGGCACAUCCGGAAAAAAUAAACGUGGCUACCAUUCUCGAGCUAUCCGCACAAGACACAUCGCCUGUUUGAUGGCUCGUGUUAGUUAACAAUCUCAUAGUUGGAUGGCAACCUGCCCUUGGUGAUAUGCAAAUGUAAAUCGUUCACUUCAGAGAGAGCCGACAUUACCGAAUCUCCUUAUGGCCUUGUUCGGUUAAUCAUCUCUCCAAGAGGAUAGGAGGGACUUGGGGUGGGAUUUUAACUUGUAGGGGAUUUAAUACUCUUCAAUCCCCCCACCCCCCAGCCGAACAAGCCCUAAAGUGGGCAAUAGACAUACUUUAGGAUAGUACGUUGUGUAGGGAGUUUGGCAGAGUAAGUAUCGAAAGGCUCAAGAGACCAAGUGGUGGAAUCUAGAAGGUUGAUGAGGUUGAGUUUCAUUGGGACAUAUCUUCUUGGUGGUGCAUGUGGUCUUCGACCGUGUUACUCUUGUUGAGGGUUUCUUUGUGAUGUAGCAGUGUGAGGGUUGGUGGUUGUUAUGUGUUGGGUAUGUUUGUAGGGUUGAUCACGUGUUUACGGAGUUGCAUGCUCCGUGAGUAGUCCACAUGUGGUUGGUUUGUAUCAGUUUUCGCCCGGUUUUCCGUUGAUUAACUGGGCAAUUCUUUUCUACUUAAUUAAUCGAUGAGGCAAAUCUUUUGCCUCUAUUUUGAAAAAAUAAAAAUAAAAAGACCGAUGGAAGUUGAGGUGCCAUCCAUGGGAAGAGAACACAGAUGAGACCAAAGUCGCAGGGUCAACGCAAAUGUCAAACAUCAGCAGGAAGCGAUCCUUGAGAGUGGUUUCACCUAGCCACCAAUUUGUCCACAAAAGCAGCUACGCCACCCUUUGCCAAUGGACUGGUUUGGCCCCAUGCUGAAGUAGCUAGUGUUUGAUAAGAUGUGAGCUGCAUUAGAAUUGAGAGUUUCCCUAGCCCGAGGAAGAGAAAAUGUCGGGAGCACCCUGAUACUUAGCCAACAUGAUUGGUUUUUGUAAGCUAUUUUGAUCCGAACACAAUUUCCAAAUCCAUCUAGGCAUGAUAAUAUAUUCAUUAGUUCAAGUUGAGCACCCCUAGAGCCCCACAAUCUUUUAGGCGACAAAUUUAUGGCCAUUUAACGAGGCGAUAACGCCUCUAUUUAUCGAAUUCCCUAUGGUACCAUGAGGAAGGAAAGACAAUGCCAUCAUGCAAGGAGGAAGAUUUGAGAGGCAGACAUUACCGGUGACAAGUUUCCUAUGUGUAGAAAGAAAAUUUCCUCCUUGCCAAGGGUUGACAGGUUUUCCAAUUUUCGUUACGAGAGGUUCGAGUUUGCCUUCCAAAUCUUUUAGUCGGUGAUGGGAAGGCCAAGGUACGCACCGGAGGCCAAGGAUGACCGGGUUUAUAAUUGAAUCUGAAUUCAUUCAAUAUGGUGAAUGGCCUUUUUUUGGGCGGGAAUGAACUCUCAUUUGGCUGCCAUCUAGUCAGCUCAGCUUCAGCUAGCCCCGUCACGAAAGCAUGUGUGUGUCCAUAUGAAUAGUGAUGUAGGUACAGCCGGUAAGGGGGGUUAAGGAACAUGCGAGAGUCGUUAAUGAAACAAGCAUCCAACCUUAGAUUUCUAAGUUGUAUUUCCACCAUCAUCACACACAGCUUUCAUGCUUUUUCAUAGUGGACCUCAAUUAACUAAACCAGGGCAAAGAUUGUCGUGGAGAUUGGCAAGACCGGUCCCAUUCUUGGCGACGAAAUGGUUGAGAUCCUUCGAACAUCACUCAUUUAUGAUCAGGUUGGAGAAAGGUAGGCACGACGAUCCGCAAUAAAUCAAGAAGAAAUCGGGGGUCAUAAGAGAAGCUCAGAGGGUGAGAUUCUAGACGGUUAAUGGAAUUCCGGAAAAGGGUAUAUAAUGGAACUGCAAUGCCAACCGAAAAGAGUUGCGUCAAAAUAUAAAACGUUUUUCCAGUUCAAAUUGAGGGAGGUAGUACAAAACAAUGUUUACGGGUGCUUGCGCCGUUGGAUCGUGUUUGUUUGUUUAGGGUCUGCUCUCCAUGGGACUUUUUUUUUUUGUUGUUGUUGCGUGGAGCCGUCGAGCGUAUCCAACCAGUCCAAUCCAAACAAACAAAAGAACAAACUUAGCACAGAUAUUUUCGGUCGCAAACAUGAUGAUGAAGGUGGUUUAAAAAAAAAACAUGAUGAUGGAGGAGCAUCCAUCCAAACGGCAGCAGCAGAAAGCGCCACCCGCCGCCUCGUGUCGCCCCGCGCCUGACCGAGCCGAGCCGAGCCGAGCGUCCAAACCCACAGAUCCAUUCCAAGCGCCAGACCCGUGUGCCAGCCGCCAACAACUCCCUCCCCGACUCCAAACAGUAUCCGCUCUCCAGCCGCCGCGCCCCUCUCCUACUCCCCAAUGGCGGCCGCGCCUCCCCAGCCCGCCGCGCCCGCCCCCGGCCCCGCGAACGGCGGCGACGCGUUCCGCCUGGGCUUCGUCGGCGCGGGGAACCUGGCCGAGAGCAUCGCGCGCGGCGUCGCGGCGUCGGGCGUCCUCCCGGCCUCCGCCGUCCGCACCGCUCCCCACCGCCGCCCCGAGCGCGGCGCCGCCUUCGCCUCCCUCGGCGCCACCAUCCUCGCCUCCAACGCCCAGGUCCCAAUCUGAUUCACCUCGCCUCACGCCCUCUACUCUAAGCAGCCAACGAUCUCUGUCUGUCUGUCACGUGUUCAAUCUUGACAGACACUCCGAGUCUCACGUGAUGUUUUCUUUUUUUACUUCUCGUCUCAGGUUGUGGACGGCAGCGAUGUGAUCGUCAUCUCCGUCAAGCCCCAGAUUGGUAAGUGUGCUCAGUAUUAUUUUCAGCCCCCCGAAGGCAAUCAAUCAAACACUGAUGGGUCUCGCAAACGCUUGUUCUAGACAUAGUAAUUGCAUAGUCACUGAAAGCAAUCGCUGAAGCCUCAGAUUCAACGAUUCGGGCUUUUGUUUUGCACGCUUAUGAGAUUAUGAAAUUGCAGUGAAGCAGGUUCUGGUUGAGCUCAAGCCCUUGCUGUCUGAAGAAAAGCUUCUGGUCUCCAUCGCUGCUGGCAUCAAAAUGAAAGAUUUGCAGGUCAGUCAGUCAGUCUGCAUUCAGGGUUUACUAGGCUUGCUUAACCGGUGAUUCAGGGUAUUCACUGUAUGAUAUAAUAUCUAUGCAUAUUCCAAUAGAGAAGAAGCCGACUGAUGCCAUGUUUCUUUUUUAUGGGUUGAGCUGGACAUGAAACAUCUCGCUUCAUGCGAGCUCCUUUUUUCUUUUCUUUCUUUAGAUUUAUUUGCAGUAUUAAAUCCUGAUCUUGAUUUUGCGGCCUUUGCUGAUCCUGGCAAAACCAAUAUUAGAAUAUUUUUUUAAGUAAAACUUACCAAGCUGAUCCUCCAUUUAUAUAGUUUGCGGAGCUAUCAAUAGAUUUGUAAAGUUCACCUUACCAUGUACUCCAUUUGGCAAAAUAAAAGCAGCUACCAGAACUAGACGUUUGUAAAAUUACCCUCCAUAUAAGUACCAAAGUUGAGCCAUGCACUAUUUUGCCUACCUAAGAAUAAGACUGCCACUUGAGUUACUCAACAUAGUAUGACUAUUUUUGUUUUAUGCUUUUUUUUUUGCUCUUUUAAUCUCAGGAUUGGUCUGGUCAGCGCAGAAUUAUUAGAGUAAUGCCAAACACCCCCUCUGCUGUCGGACAAGCAGCAUCAGGUAAACAUAUGCAGAUCUGUCUUCUGUAAACUUACUUUUUGUCUUGUAAUCUAUUAACUACACUACACACAUAAUGUUGAUAAUAUUGUGAACCUAUCAGUUGACCAGAAUUGUGUGGUGAUCUCCCUUUAGUGAUACCUUAAGAAAAAAGUGAACUCUAAUUUCUUUUCUAUUUCUAGUGUCUCUAAUGAAAUAACAAGGUUUUCCUAAUUGAAAUGUCGAGGAUUUUAUUUUUAAAAUCUUCAAAAGUCGGUCUGCUUUAUUGAUUCAUUAUUAUCUACAUAUGUAAAUUUGAAUUUGAAACGUGCAACACAUUAUCUACUUUUGCUUUUCCCAGUAAAAUGACUACCAUUCUGUGAUGUUAUGAAUCUCUAUUAUUGGUAGAAAUUUUGUUGCCUGGUGGAAUUACUAAAUGAAGGCAGUAUCACUAGAAACAUGCCAUUUUUCACACAUAUGUUUCUUGCUGAUGUUGUUUCAUGUACUUAGUGAUGUGUCUGGGAGAGACAGCUACUGAGAAGGAUGAAAACCGUGUCAAAAGCUUAUUUAGUGCCAUUGGAAAAGUUUGGACAGCUGAAGAAAAAUAUUUUGAUGCGGUUACUGGCUUGAGGUAUGUGACAUAUUCUAUAUGAAACUUUAAGGAAGCAAUGUCAAGAGUAGGCCGGGAUUGGCUCAAGAAUUAACAUGCAUUUCCAUCUAUUUGAAUACAGUGGUAGUGGUCCGGCCUACAUUUUCUUGGCAAUAGAGGCCAUGGCUGAUGGUGGAGUUGCUGCUGGGCUUCCUCGGGAUCUUGCUCUUGGUCUUGCAGCUCAGACAGUACGUAUCCAUUCCAUAUUCUGUUAUUUUACGUAGUCCAUUGGGCAUUAUCUUGCAUAGUUAUUAAGCUGGAAUGUGUAUAGUUCCUUUGCGCAUUAUGAUUAAUUGCAUUCUACCAUAUCAACAAUUAUUCUGAUCUCAAGUUUGCAGUAUCCUGUUUGUCAUUUGUUGACCUUCUACAUUUUCUCAUUACCUCUUUUUGUCAUAUGAUCUGCUGUUUAGGUGCUAGGUGCUGCAACCAUGGUUAGCGAGACGGGUAAACAUCCAGGGCAGCUGAAGGAUCAGGUCACUUCCCCUGCAGGAACUACCAUAGCUGGUGUUCAUGAGCUCGAGAAGGGUUCGUUUCGCGGCACACUGAUAAAUGCCGUUGUUGCUGCCACAACAAGAUGCCGAGAGCUCUCGAAAAAUUAGACCUCUUAUAAUUCUAUUAGCCAGUAUUAGGUUUGCUACAAUUCUGCAAUAAAAUGGUGUAGACAUGAUUUAUGAGAUCUUUAAAUCUCAGACUCAAAACAAGUUCUCAACAUAUUUUGCUGGUCUAUCGAGUGAUGUGUGAUGUUACAAAAAUUUGGCAUGAAUUAACCUGUGCUUGCAUACAUGGUACCUAGUGCUCAUCCAACAUUCAAGACAACCUCAAAUCACAUCAUUUAGCGUAUGUUCAAUCAGUCAUCCAUUUGAUAUUGUCUCUACAAAUAUGUCAUACACACCCACAAUUUCAUGAACAAAGUUUCCACAACAAUCUGGUAUGUGUCGCCAUUUGUUAUAAUAUAUACACACAGAGAACUUAAAAGCCUUGAAUAGCACAAAAUAUCACAUGUAAUUGCGUGAAUGCCAACGAUCUUCAGGAGACCAUUUGUCUUCAUACCUACCAAGUGAGUAUCCUGCAGCAGGUAUAUCAGCAAGAUGCAGAGGAUCAGGUUCUAUACCAUAGUCUGUCAAUGGUCGGUGCUCAAGGAUCUUGUCAUGUUCAGUUACAAAAUCUGGAAUCUCAACCUCGCCCUUUUUUAUGUCCCCCCAUAGAUACUCCAGCCUACUAACAUACUUGAUUUUCCAAUACAACCUGCAAUGGACAACCAUAAAAGUGAGUUAGUAUAUACUGAAAGGUGGGUGCAGUUUGGCUGCACUAGGAGUGAACAGUCUUUUAGUUCUGAGUAAACAAAGGGCGUGUUUGGUUCCGAAUAAGUCACCAACUUAUAAGUUGAAAAGUGAAAAAAGUGACUUAUUUUGCCAAACAGACCCGACUUAUAAGUCACCCCAACUUAUAAGUCAUAAGUUGCCCCCAACUUAAAACUUAUAAGUCACCCCUUUUUGCGUGGAUCCCACCAUUUGCAUGAUGUUGAUUGGUGUGGGAAGGUGUGUCAGGUGACUUAUAAGUCAGGUGACAACCAAACAGGCGUGACUUAUAAGUCACUGGUUUUAAGUCACUUGACUUAUAAGUCAAGUGACUUAUUGGAACCAAACAGGCCCAAACUCAAAUGACAUGAGUUCAACAUAAUUGGUACCCCCUCCGUCCAGAAAUACUUGUCUUAGAAAUGGAUGCAUCUAGACGUAUUUUAGUUCUAGAUACAUCUAUUUUUAUCCAUUUCUCCGACAAGUAUUUCCGGACGGAGGGAGUAUUAUAAAGUAGCAGUAUUGUAUGUCCAUCAAUAUCUAGUCAAGUAGACAAGACUGAACCGUAACAUAUCAACAAAUGAAUGAGUUGAUGGUCUCUGCAAUUUGACUGUCACAAGUAUACAUUACUUUUUAUGAUUCAUGAACGGCACAACACAACCCUGGAAGCCCAUUUGGCAAAAUUAUUCACAAACCAGAGAAGGUAAACAAAAACCAUAAUGCUUGUAUACAAUUAUUUACUAGUUUCCUUAUGUUGUUGGAAGCAAGCUCCUUAUGAACUGGUAUGCAAGUUUCCUGGCUAUCAUUAUAAAACAACCCAACAUGUUUGAGCAUUUUUAAUGAUCAAGAACUGUAUGAGAGAAAACUGACCCUCCGCUUAAGAAGAGCCUGCCUAGUGUGGCCAUGGCGAGCCAGGAAUAAAGCCCGGGAUGCAGGAAGUAGAAUAUUUGCAGCCUUUCCUUGUACUCGGCUGGAAGUUCUUCAUAAAUCCCCCUCAAGAUUGUCAUUCCAGGAUUGUUAUCAUCUGAUUGUACAGUGGUGUGCACGUACAGGAUGCAGAAUGGACCCUCUGGCAACUCGGUGCGGAGCUUGUGAAACACAUACCUCUUGAGACGUCCACCAUCUAUAACAGGAGCUGGAAUACCAAAACAAAAUGCCAUGUGAUGCGAGUGUUACAGGGAGUGAUAGGAACUAGUAUCGCACUAGCAGCAAAGCUUGUAGCAUCGGAGCAUCAAGUGUGUGGUACUAGAAGUGAGCUGAUUUUGAGAAAUAAUGCUAACUGUCAUGCUGAAUCGGUUAUCCAAGAAUGUUUUUAUGUGGUGCUAACGAUUUAAUAACUAUCUGUGUAGCUCCAGAAUGUUUGAGUUUAUGUUCCUACCUAUUGUCUGGAUAUAUGAAGAGAGAUGUACGGCCUAAUGAGGCUACUAUGAAAUAUUUACUCAUGGGUGGGGCAAGCUCUUCUAUUCUGGUUCAUUGUUUCUCUUGGCUAUAUGGUUCAUCUGGGGGGGGGAUCAAGCUUCAAGAAAUUGUGAAAGUUAGGCCAAUAUGACAUGGAAAGGAAUCAUCCACUACCAGCAAAGAAGUAGCAUACAAAAUGUUAUGCUAGUUUCCUUAUAAAAUGGAAUGCUGCCAACUGAUUAUGAGAAAUAAGUAGUAGUCCCUCCGUAAAGAAAUAUAAGAGCGUUUAGAUCACUAAAGUAAUGAUCAAAAUGCUCUUAUAUUUCUUUACAGAGGGAGUACUAAUUUGCAGUAUUGAAUCUGUUAUCAAACCUGAAACUAGACCAACAGGGGAUGGUAGUACCACUAGCAAAGAAGCCACAGACAAAGCAGAUUACUAUCCACAUCCAGAUGAACAAUCAUGAAAGGUGCAUCUCCAACAUCCAGAAUUUUCCAAUUUCCACAACUACCAACAAUACUAGUAGAAUUAGCUAAUCGCUGAGGCAUAGAUACGCUGAAAUCCGAAGUAUAUGAAGAAAGAAUCCGUCGACUGACUCGCACUGGCAAUCCCCAACUAGCACCCGAUAAAUCCCAGGAUGAGAAGAGGACGGGAGGGGUUGGGCGCACCGGGGAAGAACUUGCCAACGACCCGGACGACGGGCCGGCCGGAUCUGUCCGCGCCCUGCACGCGGACCACCUGGAGCUCCUCGAGGUCGGAGAAGUCGUCGCCGAGGUCGGGGGCGCAGUCGUGCCACUCCUCGCGGUCGGCGGGAGAGGCGAGGAGCGCCGCGCCGGCGUCCACCGCGAAGUCGGACCCUAUCACCAUCACGGAGAAGUCGCUCCCGCCGCCGCUGCCGGAGCCCGAUGCGAGCGCCAUGGCCGCCCCUCUUCUUCGUCUUCUUUUUUUUUUUUUUAGACAAUGGCCGCCCCUCCUGCUCCAGGUAUGUGGUACACACGACUAGCCCACAGUAAUUUAUUGGCCGCUCUAGGCCCAUGUAAUACCUUUUUUGCGCAAAGGCCCAUGUAAUACAUCGCUGUGCUUUGGGCUCUUCUCUGUCAUUUUCUACGAAACGACACAUAAAUACCCAGGCUUACCAUUUUCUAAGAACGGAAAAGAAGACUAUUCAGGCGAUUUUUUUGGAGAAUACGCCUAGGCGUACCAUAUUAUUAUAGAAGGCAGAAAACUUGCAAAGAAACUACACCUUACUUGGAACAAGUGUAGCAGGAACUCCACACUCCACAGCGACAAUUACAAACACAACGCAAAAAUAACCUGUCCUAAACCAAUCAUCUAGCCGUGUCAGAACAAACGUCGGACUCCUCAAAGCGCAACAACUCCAACCGAAAUUUCCUUGCAGACAUGCUACCCACCUUUGGAUGCUGAAGAGGAGAUGGCGAGUGGAUAGCGGAACUCGGUCGGUCCCGAGAAAGCCGUCAUCUUGGAUUCGCCGGCGGCUGCGUACAUAGCGUACACGAAGAUCAACUCGAACAUCGGCAACUACCGGAGAACCGCAAACAGAACCCAAGCCAAGUCUCCACCUAUGAUGCACUCAAUAGAGUAACGACGCCACACCGCCGCCUGGUCCUGGAACGGACCAAGGCUUUCGCUCGGAGACCACAACCCGAUCAAGAAGCGGGUUUUCCGUGCAAAAAAAACAACUUUUCGAAAAACAAUUUGGCCAAAAAUUGGGGGGAAGUCCGAGAAGGCGAAAAAACAUCUAACAGCCGAAAACGCCUGCAAUAAAAUAAAAUUCAAAGAAAGCGCCCAAAGCGUGACACAUGGCAGUGGCUGAGCGUGUGCCAAGUGGCGCACUCCUAGCCCACACCAAGUGUAGCUCCCGAAGGUUAAUUAUUUGCUCCUCGAGAGAUACGUAGGGUGUGAUCCUUUAUUUAGGGGAAUUCUAGGCACUAUUUUCUUUGUUUACUAUGUUUUUAACAAUUGUUAUUGGCUUUCUUUUUAUAUUAAUGGUUAAUUAUUUAUUUAUGUUCUUUGUUUUUUCUUCAUAAGGUUUUUGGGUUUUUAUAUGGCAUGUCUACUUUUUCAAUACACGUUAUAUUUUUUUAUUAAUACAUAACAUUUUCUUGAUACUCAUUGCACAAUUUUGAAAUACAUGCUUUUAAACAUUUUUUCAAAUACAUGCUAACUUUUUUCAAAGAUACACCGAAUAUUUUAUAAAACGAAUAUUUGACAUGAUUUUCUAAACUACAAGUACAUUUAUUGACAUUGUAUGAAAAAAAUCAACAAACAUUUUAUUUUUUCAAAAUUUCACAACCAACUUUUGAAUUGUACUGUACAUUUUAUUUUUCUAAACUAAACGGACAUUUGUUGAACGGUAUCCCCCCUCCAUCCACAUUAAUCUUCUUCAGGUAGCCCGGAGGCGGAGGUACCACCCUGGCCAAUGGGUUCUGCUUUGGGAUAACAACUGGUGGCCAAACCGUAGCUAUUCUCAGCUUGGUUACUCGGCAGUCGGCACCACCAAGAAAAGAAAGAAACCAAAGAAUCUACUAACGCACGCACGCACGCUCUAAUGGCCGCCCUUUAAUCCUUGAAUUAUGUACACUUAAUUCGCACUUAAUCCGCACCGCACCGCACCG